CGCCAUCGUGGGGUAUGGGUCUGAUUUCUACGCAUACUGGGCUGGGCCAACAUUUGGUGACAGGUGCUUUUUUUUUUGACCCAACAGAAGUCCCACCAACCUCAAAAAUUUAGUAAUAAAUUUAGUAAUCCUCUAAAAUAGUAUUGAAAAACACUCACGAAAACACACGCUUGCCGCUCCCACUCCGCCCGCCGCCGGCCGUCGCCGCCGCUGCUCACCUCGCCCCGCUGCUACUCCUCACUGCCGGUGAGGGCUCACGGAGGAGGGAGGGGAAGAGAGGCAGUGGAAGGAGAUCUAGAGCUAGCGGAAGGAAGAAGAUAGAGGAGAGAAAGAUAGUAAUGGAGAGAAAGAUAGCAGGGGAGGAGAGAAAGCUUGGCAGGUAGAAGGAGGAGAUAGGGGGCAAGCGCGUGGAAUCGCGCAUAAAAAAUCUAAGUCUUUACAGUGGGAGACCCUUUAGUACCGGGUGGGGGCUCCACUCGGUACUAAAGGUACUUUUGGUACCGGGUGGAGCCUAAAGGGGAUCACGGGGCCUCAUCGGAAGGCCCGGUACUAAUGGGCCAAAAAGUGAUCGGUACUAAACCUCAGAACGAGAGGUCAUUUUUUUAGUAGUGCACGGAUCGUACGGAGUUCAGGCAGAGACUAAGGGGGUGUUUGGAUACCCACCGCUAAACUUUAGCACAUGUCACAUCAGAUGUUUGGAUACUAAUUAGAAGUAUUAAAUAUAGUCUAAUUAUAAAACUAAUUGCACGGAUGGAGUCCAAUUCGCGAGACGAAUCUAUUAAGCCUAAUUAGUCCACGAUUUAACAAUGUGGUACUACAGUAACCAUUUGUUAAUGAUGGAUUAAUUAAUCUUAAUAGAUUCGUCUCGCGAAUGGACUCCAUCUAUGCAAUUAGUUUUGUAAUUAGCUCAUAUUUAGUUUCUCCUAAUUAGCAUCCGAACAUCCGAUGUGACCUUGCUAAAGUUUAGCAUCUCUUAUCAAACACCCCCUAAAAUAUUUAUCUUCCUGUCUCCAACAAACGAUGUUCCGACCAUGAACUAAAAUGACUAUCCUCUUGCAGAUGUGGUGCCGGAACCUGGGUAGACGCCCUGGGUCGCCGAGCCCCGGGACCACCCUGGUAAUCAUCAUUGAUAACAGUAGACAUUCAAUACAUUAUGUUUUCUUUAAUAAUUACACACAUCUGUCGUUAAUGCAGGUCAUUGUGGCCGGCGACGGCAUGCUGCGAGACAGGAACGUGGAAUACGUGCGGAGGAUGGAGGAGAUGCGGAAGCCGGUGGAGGCCGUCGUGUUCCCGGGGCAGGGGCACGCCUUCUUCUCGCUCCGGCCGUGGAGCAAACCGGUGGAGGAGAUGAUCCGGGUUGUGAAGCGGUUCAUGGACAAGGUCUGCUCAGACUGAGCUGAGCGGUUACUGUAGAUGCACUGAGCUGCUACUUUGUGUUCUGAUUUUUCACUGCAAGCUGCAUAAAAAAAUGGAGACUAAAUUUUAAGUCUUCAUUACUGGACAUUUACUAUGUUUUCUUCAUUUUACCCUUCAAUCAAAAUACGUAUGGCGCCGAAGUGGUGGAUAGUGUGUGUGACCCAUGCUUCAAAUUCGGCCGGGCUUCAUGUUGCCGCCAUCGUGGGGUUUGGGCCUGAUUUCUACGCAUACUGGGCUGGGCCAACAUUUGGUGACCGGUGCUUUGUUUUGACCCAACAGAAGUCCCACCAACCUCAAAUUCAGAGGACCUAACGAUCCUCUCAAAAAAUUAGUAAUAAAUAUCUAUAAUCCUCAAAAAUAGUAUUGAAAAACACUCACGAAAACACACGCUUGCCCACUUGGACCACUUCCCAUCUAGUGUACCAUGUUAUACUUUUCGAAGAAAAAAAUUACUUGACAGAUUAUCAGCUCUUUUCCAAGACGUCCUUGGACUAUUCAAUUGUUUUCUUUCAAGAGGACAAUCUGUCCGAAUUGCUGAGUCAUCAUGGGUACCAAGUGGACCAUAUGGUUAGAUGUGCAUUGCAUACAUCUUUGCUUCCUGUCACUCCAGAGCUCUGAAUAACAGAACCCAUCUAAAACAAUCGGUCUGCUUUCUCCACUUCGUCUUCCCUCGGAUCAUGCGAUCAGCUCGUGAUCCAUCACCCUCCACACCCCCCAUUGGAUAAGUCCAUGACGUGCCUUCUUCUCUUCCAUCUCUGUUAACAUCAGUCUAUCCACCGAUACAUUACUCCAUCAUGCAUCAAUAACUCGUCUUCCAGAAGGGGUUAACAGUUGAGCUCUUCAUUCAGUCAGUUCUCCUGAGACCUUUUCUACUGAUGAUGAUGUGGGCCUCUGUCAGUUCAGAAUUUCUCACAUUCAGACCCUACGAACAAGAAAGAGAUCAGAGAGGCAUCUCCAUCUCCGGCCUCUCAUUUUCAUUUGCAGUCUAGAGGAUGGGAUAUGGUUCGACGAGCAUGGCCAUAACCCGUCGUUUCUUGGCAGAUAUUUGCCGUUGACUGACUCGAUCAGUUGCAACUGAACGUAGCUGUCAAUCUAACCCUCCCCUCCCACCUCCCUCCCCUGCUCACAGCCGCUGCCCCUCCUUCCCCUCCUCACGCGCAGGCAGCCGUAUCGAACUCGCGUCAGUCAGCUAGAUCUCUGCCUUACAGGUAAAAUAUUUCUGUGUAUUUCUGUUUUCUGUUUAGAAUUAAGCAGAGAUUGCAUGAUGCUAGUAAGCGGUCAUCCCAUACGUUGAACACCUUAUAUGCCUUAGUUUCCAUUCCAGUGUGAUUAGUUCCUUUGUGUGCUUGUACCAACAACUUGAUCUAAUCUUGGCAUAUGGGAAUUAAAUCAGCUGGCCCAUGGCUGGAGGGAAUUCCACCAUAGACUGCUCCUACGAUGCACUGGAGCAAUGCUCCUCUAUGAUUACAUGCGAUGCCUCCUCAUGGGACAAGAGCUUUGGAGAGAAGAUAUGGCUUAUGAACUCACUCCAGCUCAUCAGUGCCGUCCUGGCUGGAGUCAUAGUCGGGAUAGGCAUCUACGGCCAGCGCUACCGCCACCACCGCUUCACCAGGUUUAUCUUCCUCGGAGCCACGACCCUGUUCUUGCCUGUCGUCUCCACUGUUGUCUCCAUGGGCGCCGGGAACAGUAACCACAGCAUAGUCAGGGGUGACAUUCGGUUUAUUGCAGAGUGCCAACCAAGAGCACAGUCGAUCCUGAUUGUAAUAUGGGCAUCCCUUGUUCAGAUCAUCAUGAUCAAUACCAGUGCAGUAGUUGCUGUCGAUGAUAGAGAAGGUGGAAACGUAGGUCCUCCAUUUGAGCUGCUUGUUCAGGGUGUCUGGAUCUUUUACCUUGGUAUCAGCAAUAUCAUUCCUAUGGCUGACGGAUUAUUUGAAAUCGAGCUAAGUCUUUUUGCCCUUGAAGCCACACCUUUUGCUCUCACGUGUGCCAAAAUGGUAUGGAAAUAUUAUGCAUAUGAAAAGGCGCGACAAUCCUUUGCUCUCGGACGCAAUCCCCAUCUUAUAUUUGGAUACAUGAAGCAACAAUCGUUACAAGAAACAAGUCACGAUGGUGAACCAAUGGUAGCUGAGGAUGCACCUCCCCCGCUGCUGGUUAUGGGAGAAGAGAAAAGACACGUGGAGAAGCAGCCUCUUGGGUAUGUGUUCAAGGAUGACUCAUGGACAACUUCGCAUAACAAUGGCCUGGUGACUAUUGAUAGAGUUUGGAGGAUGGAUAACGUGCUUCCAACAUCAACACUGAAACCACAAAAAGACUUAUGCUUGUCAUUUGCAUUGUUCAAGAUGUUGCGGUGCCGAUUUGCAAGGUACAAGGUCAGAACUGCUGCCUCCAAGGGCACCUUCAGUUUUUUCUGGAGCUUAUUGCUGAAGGAUGGCGAACAUGAUAGGGUCUUUUUGGUCAUUUCGGAUGAGGUUUCUUUCCUUCAUGAUUAUUAUUAUUCAUCCCUCCCGAUCUCCUAUUCCAAGUAUUGGUUGCCCGUUGCCGGUAUCUUGAUCUCACUACUGAGCAUAGCUUACUGUUGUGCAUCGAUGAUCACAGUAACGCUUUUGGUAGUCCGUCUGUUGCUGGAUGUUGGAUUCGGACCUAUUCAGUUUGCAUGCUAUUUUUUUUGCAUUCGAGGAAAACUGAGGAGCGACAUGUACAUCCAAGGUUAUGGGAAUGGGUACCUUGGUCCGGUGCUAUUAAUUUUGCUUUCGGUGUUAGUCUUGAUGUCUGAGGUGAGGGACAUAGCUACCUACAUCUACUCCAACUGGACUAAAGUUGCCGUCACCUGCCACCUUGUAAACCAUGCCUCUUCGCAGCAUUCACUUCUCAAGAAGAAAUGGAUUGGCCUUCUGCUGCGUUGUCGAUGCAAGCUGAUGAAGCAUUGGGAUGAGAAAAUAGGCCAGUGCACUAUGCUGGAGAUUCGCCCGAGAACAACCCUGCCUGUACUUCUCAGGCGUCUCCUCCACUUACCAGACCACAAGAGGAAGGUCAAGGUGCCUGCAGCAGUGAAGGUUUGCAUCAUGGAAGUUGUAAGAAGCACUAGAAAUGGAGACCUUAGCAAUGGCACAGCAUCUCUCCGCUGCCGGGGCCAAGUUGGUGAAGUGCUCCUCUGGGCUUGCAACAACAAGAGUACGUCUUAUACCAUACUGACAUGGCACAUCGCCACAAGCAUCCUCGAGGUCAGGUACCCACACCGGCUUGAUCAACAACAAGGUUCUUCUUCUCCAAUUCCAAACACGGACUAUAAGAUCGUUGCCACUCACCUAUCAAGGUACUGUGCUUACCUUGUGACAUGGUGCCCUGAGUUACUCCCUGAUGAUGAUGCAUGGAGCAGGAGCCUGUACGAGGAUGUCAAGAAGGAUGUUGAGCGUGUACUUGCCGGCUGCACAGCAGGAGACUCACUGACGCCAGAAGCAAAUUGCCAACAGCUGAUCGAAGUGCUGAGUGCAGAUGCGAAGCAUGAAGUGCUCAAGGAAGGCGCUAGGCUUGGAAAGCAGUUGUUGGCGCUGGUGGUCGAAGGUGAGGACGAUACAGCGGCGUGGAAGUUACUGGCUGAAUUUUGGUCGGAGAUGAUCGUGUAUGUCGCGCCAUCCGACAACCUCAAAGGUCAUUCGGAGGCCAUCGCCAGGGGUGGCGAGCUGAUAACUCUGCUCUGGGUGUUGCUCUUCCAUGCUGGAAUCCUCAGUAGGCCAGGUGAGGACGAUGGCGUUGCUCCUACUUCUGCUGGCGUGGUUUAGUAGAGUCUCCUAUGUUUGGAACUACUGUUUCCUCCUUGUUUCGGAUUCUUCAUCGUUGAGUUCAUUUCAUAUACCAGAAUUUGUUAACUUGUGGCAGCAUGUGACUCCAUCUUGGUAAUCAGAUGAUCAAUUGUAACAAGUCUAUUUAGAGGUCCUAUAAUAUUGUCGAGACUCGAUAUUCAGAUGUAAUGUUAAAUUAUUUCUACGUAUUGUAUUGUGAUGAAUAUAUAUGUUUCAAUUUGGUAUUGUAAUGAAGUGCUUGUAUAUUACACUAUUACUAAUUGGAGGCUCCUAAAUCCUCGCGAUGUGCUCUAGAAAAAUAGAUAAAUCUUAUAAAUUCCCACAAAAUUAAAAUUAGAAACAUCCAACCGUCAAUCCAGUAGACUCUAAUCAUAAUAGCCAUCGGAUCUAUUAUGUUUUCGAAAAACUUAAUCACAUCCCUCAUUAUAAUAAUAGCCUCAUUAUAAUAAUAGUAUAAAGUAACUCCUAAUUCUAUAUCGAAAUUUCCCACCUCUAGCAUAGGUGGGUAAUUUAUAUGGUUGGCAUCAUAACGACACAUCCAGUUUGUAGCUGUGAAUCUAUUGAGCCGGUUAUGAUGCUGGAACCAGUGGUAGAAGAUGGAACAAAUUUAGGAGUACGGAAUAAAUUUAAGGUCUGACAAAAUCAAAAAUUGAAAGUAACCAAAAAGAUAUCCUUUUCAUUAAUAGCACGAAACAGUGAAGGACGGAAUAAAUUGCAAGCUCGAUGAUCAAACAUUUAGGAGAUAAUAGCUGCAGGUCAAGAGAUGAUCAAACAUUUAGGAAACAACACAUGAAAUGCACAGCCACCGAUUGACCAAAACGAAAAGGAAAUUAAAAUGAAUGCCUAAUGAUUUGAUUUCAAAUAAAAAAUGCUAAAAAUGAAAAUUUGCAAUUUGUACCUCUCAAUUCAGCCUUGCCCUUGCCCUUACCCUUGGACUCCAUUUUAGCCUGUGCACUUCUGAUUCCCUGCGUUGUACGCUGCUUCUUGUAACACCAAUGGUGUUUACUAUAAAUUAAACCUUACUUAAGCACUAAUGAGGAGAAAUAAAAAGGAAAAGAGAAAAGAAAAGGAGAAAUACAGAAAAGAAGACUUGGUCAAACAAGGUUGAAUUAGAGAGUUGACUAAGUCAACCAUGGUCAAAUUAAGUCAAAAAGGUGAAUUUGGAUCAAUUGUGACAAAUGGAGUGGAUUAAAUUCAAAUCCAGUUUGAAUUUUUAAAUUUAAACUUGAUUUGGAAAGAGGAGUCAAAUGUGGUCAAGUACCCAUGUUUGAGUGCUGUUUCAAAAGGAUUUUAUAUAACAACUUUGGAAAAUAUUCUACUAAGAGUUUGAGUAUAAUGUGUAUAGAACAAUUUGGACUUGAUGUGGUUCACAGAAAAUGGAAUUUGGGUAAUUUAAUUGAGGCUCAAAGUUUGAACUAUGUGCUGUUUGGAGACUUAGGCAGAUUCUCAAUUCAGUGUCUGUAACUGAAACUCAUAUUCAGUUCAUAAUCAAAUCUUCAGAACUCUUAAUCUCUCAAACAGUGGAUCCUUUGAACAAAGUUCAUAUCUAUCAUUUGUAUACCUAUGUUACAUCUACAUUUUUGUUUAUUGGUGCUUGAAGAGAUUGUGUUUGGUUCGGAUGAAUUUUGCUUAAGAAAUAAGGAAUGUUUCUGUGUACCGAAGCCAAAACAUACAACGGUAAGGGUGCCUUUGGUUGGGCUUUCCAACCUACUUUUGCAAGUCAAAAGCCAACCAAAGGACCUAAAAACCACAUAUACUUUAGGUUAAAAGCUGCUUUUGCUCUAGGGUGUGUUUGAUUGGGCUGUGACUUUUGGAAAAGCUGCUGUGAGCUGUAGGCUGUAGAAAAGUAGUUGUGAGAAAGUAGCUGUGGGAAAAGCAGACUGUGAAACUGUAGGCUGUGUAAGAAAUACAUAUAAUGUCCCUAAAGGUCUGAGGGUCUGUUUAUAUGCAAAUUGUUCGUAACAAAAUAUUGUGUUUACUAAUUUGCAUGUAAAUGAGUACUUUAGAAAGAAAAAAAUAAAAUUUAUAUGUUCUUCAUCCAUCAAAGUAAUUAGUCCACAUAAAUAGAACAAUAUUCAUCAAAAGACUUAUACAAUGAUGCUAUCCCUCAACAUUACUGUCCUCUUCUCGCACUAACCAAAGCAUCAGCUAUCGUAGUACGAAUGGUAUUCAUGGUAUCAUUCUCCACACGUUUCUCAUCUUCGGAUAUGACUUUUCUUGUCUUCGGAUAUGACUAUUUAUUGAUGAAAUAUUUUUUAUUUCCAUAACCAUAUCCAUUAGUGGGUCCCAAUUAUCAUUGUUGGUGCCUAUCGUUUCUUUUUUUCUUUUUGCUUCGACUGUAUCUUCUAGCAUUGGACGAGCAUCGUCGCCCAAGCUUAGUCCCAGGAUGGAGAGGAGCUUGAGCUUGCCUGGGCCAUAGCCGCCCAAUGUGAGCUUUGCCUGCGCCAUGGCUGACCAGCUCGAGCUUGCCAACGCCAUGGCCGCCCAGCUUGAAGACGAAGUACAGCACCUUGGUGCGCAGUAGGAAGUUGCGCUCGACGGUGAAGACGAUGAGCGUGACGAGCCACUGGCUGAGGAGGUGGCCGGAGAAGGUGGCCGGAGAAGAUGGCGGUGACCAUGACACAACACUUCUAGAUCUCCAGCCCCAACAGGAUGCGCCCCCCGCAGGGGCCGCACGACGACGCUGACGACGAGCAGCGCGAGGACGAGGACGAGCACGGAGAGCUCAAGGCCGAGGCGCGCCUGGCGGUGGCACCGUGCCGCGAAGGCGGGUCUCCGGGAGCCGUCCCUGUUGCGGAAGAGGUCCUCCUUGUGGUCGGCAAUCCAUCCGAGCUACAAUCCAUCGUCAGCAAUGCAUCAUUAAGAAAAAUGGUAUCUGGAAAAGAUACGGGUAGUUUAUUGUCAGUGCAGAAGAUCUGAGCUACAAGGUUUAGAGGAAGGCAGGUCUCGUAGUGCCGCUGUUGUAGAUAGGUCUAUUUUACAUCGCUAUUGGCUUCUUCAUUGUUAUUGAGGUUAUUGCUGGGUUACAAUCUAUGGUUCUGGUUUUUGUCGGACCAGCUACAGUAAGAUUGCAUCGACAUCUUUCAGUGUACCGAUCAUAAGAUCUAGUAAAAUUCACUUGAAAUUACACGCAAAUCGGCAAAUGUUCUGUAUUUUGUCAAAGAAGAAAAAGGAAGUUGUGUUACAGGAUAACGACUAUAAUUUUACUGGGGCAAGAAAUUAGACAUGCCGAAUUUUUACCACAUAUUGUUUGCACAUUUCAUUGCCAAAAAAAGGCAUUGAUCAGCCCCAUCUAAACGUCUUAAAUAAAUGAAUGCAACACAUAGCGUUCAUCUGAUACUGUUGUAAUAUGUAUCUGCCAUCUUCUAAAUCUCAACUAAAAACUUACAUCCCUAGUCAUUGCAAUAGCAACCUGUCUCUAUCAUCCUCAGUGCAUCAAGUAACAGACAUCAGGAAUGCACCACCACUCGCUAUCAUCUUAGCCGUAUGAUUCUAAAUUUCUAAUUAAUUACUCCCUCUAUCCCAAAAGACUAUUCGUUUAGUCUCCAAAACUUGUCCUAUAAAGAGUGUUUUAUAACUUUCAGACCAUCCAACAAAGGCCUUCAUAAAACCUUCUGGCCCAGUGAACGAAUCGAUCAUUUACUCCCAUCAUCGAUGCUUGAUCCAGACUCGCUAAAUAAGGAAGGCUAAUAGGUUCGACAAUUACUAUAAGCAUGCAUGCAUAAUUAAUUAUACUUGGCAAUCCAUCCGAUUAAGAAGAGUUAUUAGAGGUACUUUGAACUUCUAGUAUUUCUACUAUCUUGUCUAAAAUUUUUUAAACGUCUUUGUGGGACGGAGCGAGUAGGCGCCUCUAGUUGUUGAAUUAUAUUUGUUUAUGAAAAAAGACAAUCACCCAGCAUAUAGUGCCUACAUUUAUUUCUUACAGUGACAAAUAUUAUUUGCAUAACACAGCCUUUUAAUUUUCUGAUUCAUUCACCAAUUAUUAACCACUGUGCACGAACCGCCUAAUGACCCGGAUCAGCUCGUCCGAGGCCUCCCCGCACGGCUCCGUGACGAAGAAGGCGUGCCCCUGCCCCUCGAACACGACGAGCUCGACCUCCUUGCCGGCCGCCCUCAGCCUCGCGACGUACUCCCCGACGCGGUCGUGGAGCACGUCCUGGUCGGGGUCGAGGACGAGCACCGGCGGGAAGUCGCCGCCGAGGUCGCCGAACGGGACGCUCCCCGGCGCGAGCGGGUUCGCGAUCGGGUGGUCCUUGGUGGCGCCCGCCGGCAGCGCCAGGCGCCACAACUGGUCGAACAGCGCUAUGCCCAUGGGCUCGCCGGGCUGGGACGCCGCCUCGGACGGCGUCAGCUCCUCGCCGCCGAAGUAGGGCCAGAGCAUCACGCAGCCGGCGAGCCGGAGCGGGGUGAGUGGGAGCUCCCCGGACCCGUGGCGCACAGAGAUGUGGUGCGCAAUGUUGCCGCCGGCCGAGUCGCCGGUGACGAACACCCGGCGGAAGUCGGCCGACUCGGCGAGCCACAGGUCGGCGCCGGCGCCGGACGCGGCGGCGGUGGCCUGGGAGCGGAGCCAGGAGAAGACGGACUCGGCGUCGUCGAGCGCGGCGGGCAGGCGGUGCUCGGGCGCGAGGCGGUAGUCGGCGGAGAGCACGACGGCGGGCAGCUCGGCGGCGAGGCGGAGCGCGCCGGCGUGGAAGUUGAUCACCUCGAAGCUGGCGACGCAGAAGCCGCCGCCGUGGAAGUACACGAGCACCGGCAGCUUCUUCUCCUCCAACCCGCCGCCAGCGCCGGCGGUGGAGAGCCGGUACAUGCGGAGCCGGAGGCCGUGCGCGCCGUCGUAGACGACGUCCUUCCACUCCACGGGCAGGUCCGGCGGCGGCACGCCGCCCACGAGCGGGAAUACCGAGUAGUCCGUGGACCGCCUCACCGUGCCGUCGCUGAGCAGCUGGACGAGGCCGAGGCAGUCCUCGACGACAUGUGGCGCUGCCGCCGAGCUUGCUGGAACGGCCGACGACAUGACAAGUUGGCUACUGAACAGCGAACACAGGAGUGUGACCGAGCAAGUCACGAAGCUUUACGGCCGAUAAAUAGCCAGGCAUGGUCGCAAGGAUGCCCUGGCCUUUAUUUCGUUGACUUGGACUGACUACCGGACCCACCGGUAAGCGACACUAGGCUAGUCAGAGAGCCGUGCGUCGAUCAGCCGCCGUGGACUUCUCCUACCCGCGAAGUGAGAUUUUCCACGCGUGACAAGCACAAUCCGUGCCACGGAGGAUGACACGUCACUGUCUCCACGUGUCGAAUGCUCGUCGGUCACUGCAACGAAGAUAAGCUCGGAGUGAGCAGUGGCCACUGUUGGUCAAAGCGUUCCCAUCAGAUCACGGCGGCCGUGUGCAGUUGGCAGUUGCUUGUCUGAUCAUGUGACCAUGUCUAGUUCCAACCUGGGUGUUGCUCUUCCAUGCUGGGAUCCUCGGUAGGCCAGGUGAGGACGACGGCGUUGCUCCUACUUCUGCUGGCAUGGUUUAAGUAGAGUCUCCGUUAGGAACUACUGUUUCCUCCUUGUUUCGGAUUCAUCAUCUAGAAAAAAUAGAUAAAUCUUAUAAAUUCCCACAAAAUUAAAAUCCGAAACAUCCAACCGCCAAUCCAAUAGACUCUUAUCAUAAUAGCUAUUGGAUCUAUUAUGUUUUCUAAAAAAUUAAUCACAUCCCUCCUUAUAAUAAUGGUAUAAAGUAACUCCUAAUUCUAUAUCGAAAUUACCCACCUCUAGCAUAGGUGGGUAAUUUAUAUGAUUGGCAUCAUAACAACACAUCCAGUUUGUAGUUGUAAAUCCAUUGAGCUGGUUAUAAUGCUGGAACACAACUAGUGGUGGAGGAUGGAACAAAUUUAGGAGUAUGGAAUAAAUUUAAGGUCUGACGAAAUAAAAAAUUGAAAGUAACCAAAAAGAUAUCCUUUUCAUUGUAAUAGCACGAAACAGUGAAGGAUGGAAUAAAUUACAAGCACGAUGAUCAAACAUUUUGUUGGCGCUAAAAGUCAGCCGAUUGACUCUUAGCGUCGGACACACGACCCGGGAGAAUCUAUUUAGCUCCUGUUCGGGUGAUCGCUCUGGUGCGGUUCGCGCGGCUUGCCAGCCAAUCUGACCUGUUGAUGAUUGGCAAGGAAGGAAACGUGUCAAAUUCCAAGGGUUCUGAUCGGCUAAGGUUCCGAUCUCGAGGAAGCGUAUCAGCGAAUCGGCCGAUUUGCUAUGAAAAGACAAUCGGCUAUGAUACAGCCGACGAUCGUGUAGCAAUUGCGAAGAAAACUAUUUGAGUAAACUAGACAAAGCUACGAAAGCAACACUUGAAAUAGAUCUAAUCGGCUAUAUGAUAAUGAUGAAUGAAAAUAACAAUAACAAAGCCGACAAUUCAAAUCUCAAGCUGGAUAAUUGGUGAUAAAACUAGAACAACAGAUAAAACCUAUAAUUCUAGUAAAUAUCGAUAACUGGUGAAUAAAUCUAAACGAAACGACAGCGAUGCGCCCGAAGUUAAAGCUUAGAUAUUACUCGAUAAGCGGAACUUACAGAAUCGGCCGGAGAUUGUGUCGAUGCAGCUCUGCCAACCUGCACGAACUCGUGAAAGAAGAAAAGUAUUGGCGAAGUCGCCGACUUGAAAGUAAAGUGCGAUGAAAAAGUAGAUUUGUUUGUAUUGAUUGAUGUGUUGUUUACAAAUCUCUAAAAGUGGCUAUUUAUAGCCUGUUACAACCAACUUCCUAACUGACUAGGAUCUAUCUCUAAUCUUAAACGAAAACGAAUAUUUACAAACACAACUCGUAUCGGAGUUGGUUAUUAUACUCCUGCGGACCAAUCUUUCUCUAUCUUCUUUCUCUGAUCCACUUUAAGCCCAUAUUAGCCCAAUCGCUCCAGCCUUGCAGUCGGCCGAUCUCCACCAACUCCGCCCGCCAAAAUACUGUAGCGUCAAUCAGCCGAUCCCCAACUGUAGCACCAAUUGGCCGAUUCCCAAUUGUGACCUUUUAAUCUGCCGCAUCGGCCAGUCCUUUCCUUCCUUGACGCUGAUUCCAUACGUGUCAAAAUCUGACGUCAACACAUUUAUAAUAAGAGAUGAUCAAACAUUUAGGAAACAACACACGAAAGUGCGCAACCACCGAUUGACCAAACCGAAAAAAAUUUAAAAUGAACGCCUAAUGAUUUGAUUUCAAAUAAAAAUAUGCUAAAAAUGAAAAUUUGCAAUCUGUUCCUCUCAAUUUAGCCUUGCCCUUGCCCUUCGACUCCAUUUUAGCCUAUGCACUUCUGAUUCCCUGCGCUGUACGUUGCUUCUGUUGCCGGCCGGCCGACGGUGCACUUCGGCACCCGUACGUCGCACUGUCGCAUCUCGCCGGGCGCACCGUCGCAGCAUGACCUCGGGCCUCGAUGUCGCCCGUGACCCGUGAUCGGCAAAGCGCUAAGGGUUGCGACGAGCACAAGCGCUAGGUCUCUCGUGUGGAUUUUGGGUUGCUAGUGUUUUGGGCCAUUACGCACCAGGGCAAAAAAAAACAAACAAAUCAAUUGGCCCAAUGCAAAGAACACUCGGCCUUGUAACGGUUGGCAGCCUGACGUUUCCGUUCUUCUUCCUGGACCUUUUACAUUCAAUCAGUUCGUCGCUCAUACAGGCAGCCAUGACGUCCUGUGUGUAGUAGAUGCAGCAACGGAAGGGGAAUGCCAUACUGGGCCCUCCGCCCCUGAGCACAACUGAUUCUUGAGCAACUGGGAGUGACAUGCAGUUUUGCAACAGUUCAAAUUAAAGGAACUGCAAAUAAAUGGAUGUAAAUGAAGGCAGAGAAAGAAGAAAAAGGAUCGAAUCAAAGAGAAAAAGAAAAAAGGAAAACCCACAUGCUAUUUGCUAGAAUGAAGAUCAUGGCACACAGAUGCAGCUAAAGGGUCCGAUCGAUCUGAAAAGGAGAAGGGAACUGCGUGGUGGCAUGAUCGCCCCCACAGCCCCACCUUCCAGGUGGCGAUGACAGUUUUGUGUCUCUCUCAGUCCGCGAAAGAUUAAUUGCAGCGAUCUGGGCACUAAGUAAAGAACAAGGAAACAAUUUAUCGACAAGCUAAUUUAUCGAUCAUCCUGUGACUCGUGUUUUUGUAUGUGUGAUUAGUUUUUUUUCCUUUGUGGACAAGCUGAUUUAUCGAUCAUCCUGUGAAGAAUUCCAUUUUUCUCGAUUCAAAAGCUCAGAUGGAUUAUCUUGUUGAGUUCCGACUGUUUCCGUAUUCUCUCCAUGACUCCAAAGAGCAACAAAACCCACCACCAUAUUAACAACCAAAUAAAAACGCGUUCCGUAGAGCAUACGCUUCUGUCGGUGAAACCGAAGAUGAAAGGACGAAGGAAGACGAGCAAAAAAGGAAAAGCUUUGUUUUGUGCUUUUGAGUCCCCCCACCAUCAUGCAUUUGUUCCAAUUUUAUUAUAGUUUUGGUGCUGAGAAUGAUGUAAAAACUUUAUUGUGUGCGGUUGUAGAGGUCGGAGAUAAUUUCCUUUUUCUAAAAUAAAAAACAUGCAUUUGUUCCAAUUGAGCAUGUAGGCUCAGGGCGUAGCAGCUCUGGUAACGAAGGUUCACUUGUGUGGUCAAUAACCUCUCCCAGGGAGGCAGGGACGUCGGGACAUGGGGAAAGAUGCGACAUGGUUUGCAAGAGAAUAUUUGCUUGUGCUUAUUGCAAUGCGUGUUGCACGCAGGACUCCUUUUUAGCUACGUGUUCUUUUUUAUUUUCUUCUUUAAAACUUACCAUUGGCGGAGAAGUGGAAAUAUUAACGUGGCCUUAUUCUAACAAGAAAAUUAAUUAAGUUAACUGAACAAUCAAAUUAAUUAGGCUAAAGAAGUGACCAUGUGCGUGCAUUUCGUCUAUCUACAACGGAUCUUUUGACUUGAAACAAAAAUACCUAAAGGCAGUUAAGGUACCUUUUGGCAAGGAGACUAUCAUCAUUGCCAUAACAGAAAAUAUUUUAGGCUUAAUCUAGAUGCCCUAGGCAGUAAUAAGGAGAUUACUUUACUAUUACUAAUUGGAUAUUCAUUUCAAAGUCCGUUAUAAAAAAAAGUAAAUCCAAAAAAUACUCAUAAAAAUUAAAAAUAUCGAGACCAUAUGGUAUACCCUAAUCAUUAAUGGUGGAUCCACAGAUUGUAUUGUAUGGAGCCCGAGCAGAGACUAACACAUUUAUCUUCCAGUCUCGUUCCAACUAUCGAUUAAAACAACUAUCCUCUUGCAGAUGUGGCGCUGGAACCCGAGUAGCCUUGGGUCGCCGGGCUCGGGACCACCCCUGGUAAACAAUCAUCAUUGUUAGAGAUAUGUUUCCUUUGUGUAUUUAUCCCAUUGUAUAAGGGGUUCUGUGUAUAUGUACUACCACCUGUACUCUACUUAUAUGGGUCUAUUGGCCCCCUGGGAAUAUAUACUGAUUAUUCCUAACAUGGUAUAGAGCCAAAAUUGAUCUAGGGUUCAUCAGCUCCUGCCACCGCCGGCUGGUUCCGUGUUUUUUUUUCCCGUCGGCGCUGCUUCGGUCGCUCGUGCGGCGCUCUUCCGGCCGCCUGGCGGUCCGUCGCCGUGUCGCUCGUGCGGCCGCCCAUCGAUCUGCCGCCACGCUGCUCGUUCGGCCGCCCGUCAGUCAUACGCCGCGGCGUUUGUCCGGUCUCCCGUCGAUAUGUCGCCGCCCGCUGACUGGAUUGGCCUUGCGCUCAUGCGUUGCUCAUGAUUGCUCUGUUCUGCCUGUGAGACCAUCCGUGGUUGCUCCGUCCUGAUUGCUCGUGCGUGACUCGUGAUUGGUUGGAUUGUGCCUGUACGUAUCCAGAUUGGCUUCUACACUUGUACGUGGCUUGUGCAACCUGAUUGGUUGGAUUGUCCCUGUACGGAUAAAGAUUGGCUUCUACAGGCAGCACCUAUCUACCUUCCUGAUGGCUUCUACAGGUAGCACCAUCUCUGUUCCUUGCUGUUCGGUGCUCUUCGAUGGCACCAAUUACACGGAUUUUAUACAGCAUAUGAGGGUGCACAUGCGCGGUCUUCGUCUCUGGGGUGUUCUCUGUGGUGAUCUUCGUUGCCCUGUUGUUGCGGCUCCGCCUCAAGAGCCUGUGCCUCCUUCUGACUCGACGAAGGAUCCUGCUACUUCCUCAACCUAUGACAAGAAUGUUACUGCAUAUCAGGAGGCCUUGGAUCUGUAUCGUGAUCAGCUGACAUUGUACACUCAGUGGGUUGAUGAUGAUGCUCGUGCUGCUUCCAUCCUUGUCGCCAGCAUGCAUUCUCCGUUUGCUUCUGAGAUUGUUGGUUUGUCUACUGCUUUUGAGAUGUGGUCUCAUCUUCGUCGUUGCUAUGCGCCAUCUGGAGAUGUCCUCUACCUUUCAGUGGUUCAUCAGGAGCAAACACUUCAGCAGGGAGAUUUGACUGUUGAUGCCUUUUAUGCUCAGAUGUCUGCUAUAUGGCGCCAGUUGGACACUCUCUGCACUGCUGGCUGUCGUACCUGUGACUGCUGUCGUGCUCUCCGAGCUGAGUGCGACUUCCGGCGUGUCUACGAGUUCCUCACUCGGCUUCGAUCGGAGUACGAGCAGUGCCGCGCUCAGCUACUUGCACGUCACCCUCGUGUCUCACUCGUGGAGGUGCUCAUUGCUGUUCGCUCCGAGGAGACUCGUCUUCGUGAUGCUGGUCUUCUGCCGCUUCCUCCAGUGCCCACAGUGCUUGUGGCCUCACCUACGGGGUCUUCUACAUCAGCUCCUUCGAUGACAUCUGUUUCGUCGACAGCUUCUUCGGCUGCUGCUUCACGUGCUCCAUCAUCUGGUAAAGGCUGUCCUUACUGUGAUUAUUGUGAUUGUGCUGGCCAUUGGGAGUCCCAGUGCUACAGGAAGAAGAAGCAUCAUCGUCGUCCUCCUGGUGCUUCUUCUACGGCUCCGACGUCUACUACGUCUCCUACUUCGUCUUCGACUACUGACAGUACUCAGCAGGAGAUUCUACGGCUGCUUCGUCACUUGUGCGUCUCCUCCCCUUCUGCUGCUACAGGUUCUACUGGUUCUGCUAUGGUGUCUUCCAGCAUUGAGAGACCAUCCUCUUCACAGUCAGGUACUCUUCCAUGGAUCCUUGAUUCUGGGGCUUCUUUUCAUAUGACUUCGGACUCUUCCAUUCUUUCUUCCUUACAUUCUCCUUCGUCACCUAUUUCUGUACUCACUGCGGAUGGUACUUCUCUUCCUGUUGCUAGUCGGGGAUCUCUUGAGACUUCUUCUUUUCAUGUUCCUUCUGUUUCUUAUGUUCCCCAACUCACCUUGCAGCUCAUGUCCGCAGGUCAGAUCACCGACCAUGAUUGUCGUGUUAUCCUUGAUUCUGAUUCUUGUUUUGUUCAGGAUCGUCGCACGGGGUCCCUGAUUGGUACUGGUCGUCGGCUCCAUGACUCUCAACGCCUUUGGCAGCUUGACUGGCUUCGUCUUCCUUCUGCUGCUGCUGGUCUUGCUACUUCUUCUUCCACAGGCACAUUUCAGCAAUGGCAUCAUCGUCUUGGUCAUGUCUGUGGAUCUCGAUUAUCUUCAUUAGUUCAUCGUGGUCUUCUUGGUCCUAUCUCAGGAGAUGUUUCUCUUCAUUCGUGUCAAGGUUGUCGCUUGGGAAAGCAUAUUCAGCUUCCUUAUCAUAGUAGUGAGUCUGUCUCUCAGCGUCCUUUUGAUUUAGUCCACUCAGAUGUAUGGGGUCCUGCUCCCUUUUCUUCGAAAGGGGGUCAAAGAUACUAUAUCAUUUUUAUUGAUGAUUUCUCUCGCUAUACUUGGAUUUAUCUUAUGUCCUCUCGUAGCGAGGUUCUACCCAUAUAUCGAUGCUUUGCUACUAUGAUUCGUUUUCAGUUUGCCACGUCUAUUCGUGCUUUCCGUGCUGAUUCUGCUGGCGAGUUCCUUUCUCGACCUCUCCGUGCUUUCCUCGACUCUCAGGGAACCCUUCCUCAAUUUUCUUGUCCUGGUGCCCAUGCGCAGAAUGGUGUAGCCAAGCGCAAACAUCGUCACCUCCUUGAGACCACGCGUGCACUCAUGAUUGCCUCCUCUGUUCCUCCUCAUUUUUGGGUUGAGGCUGUCUCUACUGCCACACAUCUUAUUAACAUUCAGCCUUCCACUGCCCUUCAGGGGGGGAUUCCGUUUGAGCAUCUUUUUGGACGUCUACCUGACUACUCUUCGCUUAGACUAUUUGGUUGUGUUUGCUAUGUUCUUCUUCCACCUCGGGAGCGUACCAAACUAACUUCACAGUCUGUUGAGUGUGUUUUCCUAGGCUACAGUUCUGAGCAUAAGGGAUAUCGUUGCUGGGAUCCGGUCAGUCGUCGGAUGCGGAUUUCUCGCGAUGUUGUCUUUGAUGAGUCUCGUCCAUUUUAUCCUCGUCCUUCCUCUGAUGUUUCACAGUCGUCUUUGGUCGAGCCGCUUUCUUUCUUGACUUUCCCCGAUACACCUAUUGCUUUUCUGCCUCCUUCGAGCCUUGUACCUUUGCCUACAGAGUCCCCUUCUAUUUUGCCUUUUUCUGUGGUUUCAUCUUCUGAGCCUUCUCCUUUAGUUCCUGACUAUUCCAUGAAGCCUCCAGUGACACAUGUCUAUACACGACGGGUUGUGUCCUCUCCGCAUGAUUCUUCUCCUGAUGUUUCGGCAUCUUAUUUUGACACCCCUCCUUCGCCUGCGCUUGAGCCGCUUCUUGGACGUGGUUGUCGAGUUCGUCGGCCUCCUACUCGGUACGAUCCCGCCGCUUUUUCUUCUACCGUCCUUUCUGAGCGACUUCAUAUCGCGAUGCUCUCCUUCAUCCUGAGUGGCAGGAGGCGAUGGCGGCGGAGUUAGCUGCUCUUGAGCGUACUGGUACCUGGGAACUUGUUCCUCUUCCUCCUCGCAUUCGCCCUAUCACGUGCAAGUGGGUAUACAAAGUCAAAACUCGCUCUGAUGGUUCUCUUGAGAGGUACAAGGCACGUCUUGUGGCUCGUGGUUUUCAGUAGGAGCAUGGUCGUGAUUUCGAUGAGACUUUUGCUCCGGUUGCUCAUAUGACCAUUGUUCGUACUCUCCUUGCUGUUGCUUCUGUUCGUCAGUGGUCGAUCUCUCAGCUUGAUGUCAAGAAUGCUUUCCUUAAUUGUGAGUUGCGUGAGGAUGUCUAUAUGCAGCCGCCUCCGGGGUAUUAUGUUCCAGAAGGCAUGGUUUGUCAUCUUCGUCGUUCUUUGUAUGGCCUUAAACAAGCCCCUCGAGCUUGGUUUGAGCGUUUCUCUUCUGUUGUCACUGCUGCUGGUUUCUCUGCUAGCGACCAUGAUCCUGCGCUCUUCAUCCACUCUUCUCCUCGUGGUCGUACUCUUCUUCUCCUAUAUGUUGAUGAUAUGAUUAUCACAGGGGAUGAUUCUCAGUUUAUUGCCUUUGUCAAGGCUCGGCUUUGUGAGCAGUUUCUCAUGUCUGAUCUUGGUCCUCUUCGCUAUUUUCUUGGGAUCGAGUUUUCCUCUUCGUCUGAUGGUUUCUUCUUAUCCCAGGAGAAGUACAUUCAUGAUCUUCUCGCUCGAGCCUCUCUGACUGAUGAGUGUAUGGUUGACACCCCGAUGGAGCUUAACCUCCAGCUUCGUCCUACUGAUGGUGAGCCUUUGGCAGAUCCUACCCGCUAUCGCCAUCUUGUUGGGAGUUUGGUCUAUCUUGGUGUCACUCGUCCAGAUAUUUCUCAUGCAGUACAUAUUCUCAGUCAGUUUGUUUCCGCCCCCACACAUAUUCACUACAGUCAUCUUCUUCAUGUUCUGCGCUACCUGCGUGUCACUAGCUCUCGCCGUCUUUUCUUUCCACGCUCCAGUUCCUUGCAGCUUCGUGCUUACUCUGAUGCUACAUGGGCUAGUGAUCCCUCUGAUCGCCGGUCCAUUUCUGCUUACUGUGUUUUCUUGGGUGGUUCUCUCAUUGCUUGGAAGACUAAGAAGCAAACCGCGGUUUCCCGUUCUAGUGCAGAGGCUGAGUUGCGUGCUAUGGCGUUGUUGACAGCAGAGCUCUCCUGGUUACGGUGGCUACUUGAGGAUUUUGGUGUUUCUUUGACUGGACUGACUCCUCUUCACUCUGACAGCACGGGGGCUAUCAAUAUUGCUCGGGAUCCGGUGAAGCAUGAGCUUACCAAGCAUAUUGGUGUUGAUGCCUUCUUUGUUCGGUCUCAGGUUCAGGAUCAGGUGGUUGUUCUUCAGUAUGUGCCUUCGGAGCUCCAGGUCGCUGACUUCUUCACGAAGGCACAGACUCGUGCACAGCAUAGUUACUUUCUCUCCAAACUCAGUGUUGUAGAUCCACCAUGAGUUUGAGGGGGGUGUUAGAGAUAUGUUUCCUUUGUGUAUUUAUCCCAUUGUAUAAGGGAUUCUGUGUAUAUGUACUACCACCUGUACUCUACUUAUAUGGGUCUAUUGGUCCCCUGGGAAUAUAUGCUGAUUAUUCCUAACAAUCAUCAUUGAUAAAAGUAGACAUUCAAUAAUAUAUUAUGUUUUGUUUAAUAAUUACACACAUCUAUCGUUAAUUGCACUUCUAACUUUAUGACUACGACGGGCACAGCUUUGGAAAAGAAAGGAACAUAUUCGCGAGCAACCAUAUAAUAAGCAUCAAAAGCAAAGAUAGGGAGCAGGAAAAAGCAAGCGCAUUCAGAAAAAAAAACAUAUGGAGGAAACUGCAGGAUUGAGCACUAACCAUCCAUAAGGAAACACAUUAUUCCGAGAGCAGGCAGGCAGCCGUAUCGAACUGGCGUCAGUCAACUAGAUCUCCGCCUUACCGUAAAAUAUUUCUGUGCAUUUCUGUGUUCUGUUUAGAAUUUAGCAGAGAUUGCAUGAUGCUAGCAAGCAGUGAUACUGAUCCCAUAUGUUGAACACCUUAUAUGCCUUAGUUUCCAUUCCAGUGUGAUUAGUUCCUUAAUUUGUGUGCUUGUACCAACAACUUGCUCUAAUCUUGACAUAUGUGAAUUAAAUCAGCUGGCCCAUGGCUGGAAGGAAUCACACCAUAGACGACUGCGUCUACGCUGCACUGGGCAAAUGCUCCGCUAGGAUUACAUGCGAUGCUGAUAUGGCGUCCUCAUUCGACAAGAGCUUGGGAGAGAACAUAUGGCUUAUGAACUCACUCCUGCUCACCAGUGCCGUCCUGGCUGGAGUCAUAGCAGGGAUAGGCAUCUACGGCCAGCGCUACCGCCACCACCGCUACACCAGGUUUAUCUUCCUCGGAGCCACGACCCUAUUCUUGCCUGUCGUCUCCACUGUUGUCUCCAUGCGCACCGGGAACAGUGACCACAGCAUACACAGGCAUGAUGAGGCCACUCAUUUGAUUGCAGACUGCGGCCCAAAAGGACUAUCGGUCAUGAUUCUAAUAUGGGCAUCCAUUUGAGCUGUCGAUGAUAGAGAAGGUGGAAACGUAGGUCCUCCAUUUGAGCUGCUUGUUCAGGGUGUCUGGAUCUUUUACCUUGUUAUCAGCAAUGUCAUUCCCGCCGCUCGCACAAAUGACAUCACGGUACUAAUUAUUGGUGCCUUUGAAGCCACACCUUUUGCUCUCACGUUUGCCAAAAUGGUAUUGAAAUAUUAUGCAUAUGAAAAGGCGCGACAAUCCUUUGCUCUCGGACGCAAUCCCCAUCUUAUUUUUGGAUACAUGAAGCAACAAUCGUUACAAGAAACAAGUCACGAUGGUGAACCAAUGGUAGCUGAGGAUGCACCUCCCCCGCUGCUGGUUAUGGGAGAAGAGAAAAGACACGUGGAGAAGCAGCCUCUUGGGUAUGUGUUCAAGGAUGACUCAUGGACAACUUCGCAUAACAAUGGCCUGGUGACUAUUGAUAGAGUUUGGAGGAUGGAUAACGUGCUUCCAACAUCAACACUGAAACCACAAAAAGACUUAUGCUUGUCAUUUGCAUUGUUCAAGUUGUUGCGGUGCCGAUUUGCAAGGUACAAGGUCAGAACUGCUGCCUCCAAGGGCACCUUCAGUUUUUUCUGGAGCUUAUUGCUGAAGGAUGGCGAACAUGAUAGGGUCUUUUUGGUCAUUUCGGAUGAGGUUUCUUUCCUUCAUGAUUAUUAUUAUUCAUCCCUCCCGAUCUCCUAUUCCAAGUAUUGGUUGCCCGCUGCCGGUAUCUUGAUCUCACUACUGAGCAUAGCUUACUGUUGUGUAUUGAUGAUCGCAGUAACGCUUGAAGAAGUCCUGUCGUUGCUGGAUGAUUCAGCAAGCGGACCUCAGAUUGAGUGCACUGUUUUUUGCAUUCGAGGACCUCUGAUGAGCAAGCCCAUGGAUACAGAAUAUGGGAACUUCAACUUCGAUCUGGUGCCAUUAAUUUUGCUUUCGGUGUUAGUCAUGAUGUCUGAGGUGAGGGACAUAGCAACCUACAUCUACUCCAACUGGACUAAAGUUGCCGUCACCUGCCACCUUGUAAACCAUGCCUCUUCGCAGCAUUCACUUCUCAAGAAGAAAUGGAUUGGCCUUCUGCUGCGUUGUCGAUGCAAGCUGAUGAAGCAUUGGGAUGAGAAAAUAGGUCAGUGCACUAUGCUGGAGAUUUGCCCGAGAACAACCGUGCCUGUACUUCUCAGGCGUCUCCUCAACUUACCAGACCACAAGAGGAAGGUCAAUGUGCCUGCAGCAGUGAAGGUUUGCAUCAUGGAAGUUGUAAGAAGCACUAGAAAUAGAGACCUUAGCAAUGGCACAGCAUCUCUCCGCUGCCGGGGCCAAGUUGGUGAAAGGCUCCUCUGGGCUUGCAACAACAAGAGUGCGUCUUAUACCAUACUGACAUGGCACAUCGCCACAAUAAUCCUCGAGGUCAGGUACCCACACCGGCUUGAUCAACAACAAGGUUCCUCUUCUCCAAUUCCGAACACGGAUUAUAAGAUCGUUGCCACUCACCUAUCAAGGUACUGUGCUUACCUUGUGACAUGGUGCCCUGAGUUACUCCCUGAUGAUGAUGCAUGGAGCAGGAGCCUGUACGAGGAUGUCAAGAAGGAUGUUGAGCGUGUACUUGCCGGCUGCACAGCAGGAGACUCACUGACGCCAGAAGCAAAUUGCCAACAGCUGAUCGAAGUGCUGAGUGCAGAUGCGAAGCAUGAAGUGCUCAAGGAAGGCGCUAGGCUUGGAAAGCAGUUGUUGGCGCUGGUGGUCGAAGGUGAGGACGAUACUGCGUUGUGGAAGUUACUGGCUGAAUUUUGGUCGGAGAUGAUCGUGUAUGUCGCGCCAUCCGACAACCUCAAAGGUCAUUCGGAGGCCAUCGCCAGGGGUGUCGAGCUGAUAACUCUGCUCUGGGUGUUGCUCUUCCAUGGUGGGAUCCUCAGUAGGCCAGGUGAGGACGACGGCGUUGCUCCUACUUCUGCUGGCGUGGUUUAGUAGAGCCUCCUAUGUUUGGAACUAUUGUUUCCUCCUUGUUUGGGAUUCUUCAUCGUGGUGCGUUGUCUGCAGUUGUUUGUGUAUGUUGAGUUCAUUUCAUAUACCAGAAUUUGUUAACUUGCGGCAGCAUGUGACUCCAUCUUGGUAAUCAGAUCAUCAAUUGUAACAAGUCUAUUUAGAGGUCCUAUAAUAUUGUCGAGACUCCAUAUUCAGAUGUAAUGUUACAUUAUUUCUACGUAUUGUAUUGUGAUCAAUAUAUAUGUUUUAAUUUGGUAUUGUAAUGAAGUGCUAGUAUAUUACACUAUUACUAAUUGUAGGCUCCUAAAUCCUCGCGAUGUGCUCUAGAAAAAUAGAUAAAUCUUAUAAAUUUCCACAAAAUUAAAAUCAGAAACAUCCAAGCGUCAAUCCAGUAGACUCUAAUCAUAAUAGCCAUUGGAUCUAUUAUGCUUUCGAAAAACUUAAUCACAUCCCUCAUUAUAAUAAUGGCCUCAUUAUAAUAAUAGUAUAAAGUAACUCCUAAUUCUAUAUCGAAAUUUCCCACCUCUAGCAUAGGUGGGUAAUUUAUAUGGUUGGCAUCAUAACUACACAUCCAGUUUGUAGCUGUGAAUCCAUUGAGCCGGUUAUGAUGCUGGAACACAACCAGUGGUGGAAGAUGGAACUGUUGACGCCAGAUUUCGUCACUAGUAAUCGGCGCUAAGAAGAGAGGGAAUCGGAGAGGCACAGUUGGGAAUCGGUCGAAUGGUGCUACAGUGCGAGAUCGGCCGAUGACUUCUGUCUCGCUUCGGGUCGAAUGUGCCGGAGUCCCAAUCGGUUGCCUUUUGCCGAUAAGGAAUCGGCAGAUUAGGAGGAUGGGUUAAUUGGGCCUGUAUGGGCUUGGAAAGGAAUAAGAGGAUGAGGGGGAGGUCAGCCCAUGAAGCGUGGAGUAACUAACCGAGCACAAAUCGUGCUUGUAGAUAUUCGUUUUCUGUUUGAAUUAGGGAUAGAAUUCUAGUCGGUUAAGAAGUUAUCUGUACGGGGCUAUAAAUAGCUACCUUUGUAAAUCUGUAAUUAUCAACCAAUCAAUACAACAAGCUACUUUUUCCUCGUACUUACUUUCAAGCAGGCGACUUCGCCAUUACUUUCCUCUUUUUCACAAGUUCGUGCGGGUUGGCAGGGCUGCAUCAUCUUGAUCUCCGGCCGAUUCUGUAAGUUCCGCUUAUCGAGUAAUAUCUAAGCUUUAACUUCGGGCGUAUCGCUGUUGUUUCGUUUAGAUUUAUUCACUAGUUAUCGAUAUUUACUAGAAUCAUAGGGUUUUUGCCUGUUGUUCUAGUUUUAUCACCAGUUAUCCAGCUAGGAAUCGGUAGUUUCGGCUUCAUACACGUUCUGUUAUUAAAUUCAUCUAUUGCCGAUUAGAUCUAUUCCUAGUGUUGUUAUCAUAGCUCUGUGUCAAUUACUCUAGUAAUUUCCUGUCUACAAGGCUACAGUGAUCGGCUGCCUUAUAGCCGAUUUCUCUAUUACAGCAAAUCGGCCGAUUCGCUGAUAAGCUCUCUCGAGAUCGGAAACUUAGCCGAUCGUGAUUUCUGAACCUGACACGUAUUCUUCCUUGCCAAUCAACAGGUCAGAUUGGCUGUCACGCCGCGCGAACCGCACCAGGGCAUUCACCCGAACAGGAGCUAAGCAGAUUCUCCCGGGUCGUGUGUCAGACGCUGGGAUUUGGUUGACCGAUUUCUAGCGCCAACACACUUUUGGCACGCCCGGUGGGACCAAUACAGCCGCCAUCAUGUCAAAAGCUGCUGAAGUCUUCGAAGAUAACGUCAUCGAGGUGACGGAAGCAGAUCUGAAAGACGACCAGAAGGAAGAACUGGAUAAGUAUAUGGCACAGUUCCGGAAAGCUUGCCUACAGUCUUUCAGUCGCUCUAGAAGCGGGGAGACUAUUAAGAAAAAUCCGUUCCCUGCUCCCCGCCAGAUCACGAUUUCUGAGGACUCGGACAAAAUGGCCGAUAUGAUUCAACAGUCUAUUCAUCACGCCUUCAUUGAUCAAUCCCCGGUACUUUCAAAUAUGGUGCACAACGCCGUUGUCAACUCCUUCGCUGGCGGGAUACCUCAAGGAUACAGGGGACCGACAUAUUUUCAGCCGAUCCCACCAAACCAGAAUUAUUCGAAUUCGGUUUCACAGCCGAUCCAAUUUUCUAUCGGGGGUUCAGGUGCUUCCUCGUCAUCAGCUCCUAUGGGGUAUAACUCCAUUCAACUGUCUUCUGCACCAUUCCCUACAGUUAGCUCAUCACCCUGGGGGGCACCUUCAGCCACGGUCGGUCAGAAUCAAUCGGCCAAUCAAGGAAGCCCUCCAUUCCAAGCGUCUUUUCAGGCGGCCACUCGGCCGACCGUACCGCCAUACCAGCCUGUCGCUCCGGAGGUCAACAAGACGGCAGAGCUCAUGCUAUAUGAUGAAACGAGUGGCUCAUUCAAACAGCCGAUGUUCAAUGCGCAACCGGCUUUCAAUCAGAUACCACCUGCUUUCACUCAGCCUCAGAUUAUUCCGCCUCCGAUUUACCAACACGUGCCGAUACCUCAGCCAACGGUUCACCAGCAACAGCCAGAUUGGUCUGCACGUAUUGCGGAAGUGAUGCAAGAACAAUUCAGCUUAAAGCCGAAAGUACAAACCUACACCUACAGAACGCCAUACCCACCUACAUAUGACCUAUUGCCGUUUCCCCAUCGGUAUAAAGUUACUGACUUCACUAAGUUUUCGGGGAUGGAUGAUACUUCAACCGUAGAGCACGUGAACAGAUUCAUCAUCCAAUGCGGGGAGGCAGCUACGCAGGAUGCCCUACGGGUACGGUUGUUCUCUUCAUCUUUGUCUGGUUCGGCCUUUCAAUGGUUCACGACAUUGCCGCCAAAUUCUAUCAUCACAUGGGCCGAUUUAGAAAGACAGUUCCACAAAUACUUCUACGCCGGAGUGCAUGAGAUGAAACUGUCUGAUUUGACCAGCCUCAGGCAAAGAAGUGAUGAGCCGAUAUCCUCGUAUGUACAGAGGUUUCGGGAAAUCAGGAACAAGUGCUAUUCUUUGGCUCUAAACGACGCGCAGUUGGCCGAUAUAGCUUUUCAAGGCCUUCUGCCUCACAUCAAAGAAAAAUACGCCUCACAAGAGUUUGAGAGUCUGAGCCAGAUUGUCCACCGAUUGUCUGGACAGGAGGUACGUUCUUUCGAUCCACGGAGGAAUUUCCAGAAGAAAGUGGCGUUCCUGGAAGAGUUAGAGGACGAAGAAGAUGUUGAGAUCAGACUUGCAGAGUGGAUCAAGGGGAAGAAGCCGAUAUCAUGCCCAUUCGGCAAAAAGGAGCCAGAGGUGUUCGGCUUUGACACGACUAAGGCUGAUAAAAUCUUCGACCUUCUCCUCCAGGAAGGACAGAUUAAACUCUCGCCAUAUCACACAAUACCUUCUGCCGAACAGCUAAAAAAGAUGAAAUACUGCAAGUGGCACGACGCCACAUCCCAUGAUACUAAUGAGUGCAAAAUCUUCAGGCAGCAGAUACAGUCGGCCAUCGAGCAGGGCAGACUUAAAUUUGAAGUGCCGACAAAAUCGGCCAAGCCAAUGAAGAUCGACCAGCACCCUUUUCCCACCAACAUGGUUGAUACGGGAAAGAAUUCACUCCAAACAAAAGUGCUGACGUCUGAAUCGGCUAAAAAGAGCGGCGCUGUUGACCCCAGAAAUCAAGCUACGCCUGAAGAUGUCAAGGGGAAGCGGCGGAUGAAGGACGACGAUGGCGACUCAGAAGAACCGCGUAUUACUUCCCAGUUCCUGCUCCAGAAGUACCAACGUCAGCAUGAACGCUCAAGAUCCAGGGAAGAGGCAAUGCGACGGCACGAAGAUCACUGGAGGUGCUCGUUUUUUAUCCACAGUUGGAAAAACAACCUCAGGCUGCCUUCGGCCGAUAAUUGCCCAGAAUGCAAUGGACCAUAUUGUGGCAAUCGGCCGUUCAACAGGUCUCGCUCCAGAGACGGAAGGCCAGAACUGAUCAGCAGGAAUUGGCGCAACCAAGAUGACCAGCGCCCUCCCGUGCGUGAUCGGCUGGGGGGCAGAAGUGACCGGUAUGAUCGGUCAGAAGAUAGACGCCAUGACAGGCAGGGGGGCAGGACUGAUCGGCAUGACCGGUCAGAGAACAAGGCCAACGUUCACAGCCGGCUCGAAGAGAUGGCCGAUGCUCGGGUAACAGAUGAAAACCCGUUAGGACGCGAACCGGAGUGGGAACGCGCCAAGUCAGGGAGAAGACCAAUAAAUCCCAGGUGGUGUCCUGAUGGAUUGACCAAGUCUCAAAAACGGAGAAUCCAACGUCUCCGCCAAUGGGAACAGCAAGAAGAGGAACAACAGAGCACGACGGACAAGAAGGAAGGAAGGCCUCGGGUGUGGCGCCCCAAAAGAAACGACGAAUCGGCGGGUGACGAAUCGGCAGCCGAGAUCGGCAUGGUUUUCAUACUGCCGAUGGAAUUCAUGACUCCCACCGAUCAACAGGGCGUGUCGGCGAUAGAAGAGCAGACGGCACAAUUGGCUUUAGAGCCAAUGAUGGCCACGUUCGAGAAGCCCGAAGAUGAUGAACGGCAACACAUGAAGGCGCUGUUCCUUAAAGGGCAUGUUGACGGCCGUCCCCUCACUAGAUUGAUGGUGGAUGGAGGAGCUGCGGUCAACAUCAUGCCGUACGCCGUGCUCCGGAAGCUUGGAAAAAGCGACGACGACUUGACCAAGACAGACAUGAUGCUCAAGGACUUCGAGGGCAACGUGUCAACCGCUCGCGGCGCUCUCUGCGUCGACCUCACCAUCGGCAGUAAGACCCUUCCUACCACCUUCUUUAUUAUUAAUGGCAAGGGAUCCUACAACAUGUUACUCGGCCGGGAUUGGAUACAUGCAAAUUGCUGUAUUCCGUCGACAAUGCAUCAAUGUCUCGUACAAUGGGUCGGCGAUAACAUGGAGGUAGUCAAAGCCGAUUCCGCAUACAGCAUCGCGACAGCCGACACGCAACAGUGGAGCUGCGAAACCGUCAGGUGCAUAUCCGGCAGAGUAUGGGAGACUGAUUUCCUGAAGGUCACCGAUUUUGGCCUACAGCCGAUCCGAGCAGUCGGCUCCGAAGACUCAGAAUAGAUGGAUCAGUUCGCACGAGAAGAUGGGAAGCUAGGGCACGGUUUCACGUCCGCCGAUUUAUUAGAAAUGAUAGAUUUAGGCGAUGGUACCAAACCAAGGCCGACUUAUAUUAGUGCAAAUUUAGACCCAGAAUACAAGUGUAAAUUGACAAAUUUGUUAAAGGAAUUUAAGGAUUGUUUUGCUUGGGAAUAUCAUGAGAUGCCCGGCUUAGACCGAUCUAUUGUUGAACAUCGGCUACCCAUAAAACCAGGGUAUCGGCCGUACCAACAGCCCGCACGGCGUUGCAAUCCCAAGAUUCUACCAGACAUAAAAGCUGAAAUAACUCGGCUAAUCGAAGCAAAAUUUAUUCGGCAAUGCCGUUAUGCCGAGUGGAUCUCCAACAUUGUACCAGUGUACAAGAAGAAUGGAAAGCUACGCGUUUGCGUUGAUUUCAGGAAUCUUAAUCAGGCCACACCAAUGGACGGUUACCCCAUGCCGACGGCCGAUGUACUGAUCGACGCUGCCGCGGGGCACAAGAUUAUUAGCUUCAUGGAUGGAAACGCUGGAUACAAUCAAAUACUUAUGGCCGAAGAGGACAUACCCAAAAUGGCCUUCAGAUGUCCAGGCCACCUUGGCUUGUUCGAGUGGGUGGUAAUGACUUUUGGCUUGAAGAACGCUGGUGCUACGUAUCAGAGAGCCAUGAAUUACAUAUUUCACAAGCUCAUUGGCAUUCUGGUGGAGAUCUACAUCGAUGACGUCGUAGUCAAAUCCAAAGGACAUGAAGAACAUCUGGCCGAUUUGCGAAAAGUGCUGGAGUGCACCAAGAAACACGGGCUCAAGAUGAACCCCAAUAAAUGUGCUUUCGGCGUAUCCGCCGGACAGUUCUUAGGGUUCAUGGUGCACGAACGAGGAAUUGAAAUCAAUCGGAAGACCAUAACGGCCAUCAACAAAGUCGUGGCCCCUCAGAACAAAACCGAAUUGCAGUCUUUAAUCGGCAAAGUAAAUUUCAUCAGAAGAUUCAUAUCUAAUCUAUCUGGGCGGAUUAAGGCGUUCACGCCACUGUUGAAGUUAAAGCCUGACCAGGAAUUUAUAUGGGGGGAAGAGCAGCGCAAAGCACUGGAAGAUAUCAAGCAAUACUUGGUCUCGCCACCAGUAUUGGUUCCUCCUCAGACUGGUAAGCCGUUCAAGCUAUACUUAUCAGCCGAUGAAAAAGCUAUUGGGUUGGCUUUAGUCCAGGAGUUCGAAGGCAAGGAACGGGUCAUUUAUUAUGUCAGUAGAAGACUUCUGGACGCUGAGACAAGAUAUCCUCCAGUGGAGCGGUUGUGCCUAUGUCUUUAUUUCUCGUGCACUAAACUCAGGCACUAUUUACUGUCGGCAGAAUGCGUGGUCAUAUGCAAAGAGGAUGUAGUGAAAUACAUGCUGUCACUGCCGAUCUUGAAAGGACGAAUCGGCAAAUGGAUCUUAGCAUUGUCAGAGUUUGACCUGCGGUAUGAAUCGGCAAAAGCCGUCAAAGGUCAGGUCAUGGCCGAUUUCGUCGCCCAACACUGCGGACCAGAGAUUGCCCUCGUAGAGCCGGCACCUUGGACUUUAUAUUUUGAUGGGUUGUUAUGUGGGGUCGGAUCAGGAAUCGGCAUCAUUCUCAUAUCGCCUCGGGGGGGCAAGCUAUGAUUUUUCUCUGCCGAUAGAAGCUACUGCUACUAACAAUCAAGCAGAGUACCGAGCUGUAUUGAAGGGCUUACAACUAUUAAGAGAGAUCAAGGCCGAGUCUGUUGAAAUCUACGGGGAUUCCAUGCUUAUAGUAGAUCAGCUGACCGGCAGAUCUGAAUGCAAGGACGACGUGUUAAGAAUUUAUUACGAAGAUUGUUUACAGCUCUUAAAAGAAUUUAGAUCGGCGGUAAUCGAGCACAUCCCAAGGGAUCACAACGAGGAUGCCAACAAACUCGCCCAGCACGCAUCUGGAUAUCGGCCAAUUCUAGGCGCUAUGGCUCUAGAACUUGCGGCCGAUGACUGGCGAAAAGAAAUUGCCGAUUACCUGAAAGAUCCGUCCAAAAAGGUGGAACAACGAGUACGUUUUCAUGCUACUAAAUACGUACUGCUCGAAGACGACCUGUUCUACCGAACGAUCGACGGUGUUCUCCUCAAAUGCCUUGGAAUAGAGGAGGCCAAGACUCUGAUGGGAGAACUCCAUGAAGGGGUAUGUGGAGCACACCAAUCGACCCAUAAGAUGAAGUGGAUGAUCAGGAAUAAUGGGUACUACUGGCCGACUAUCCUCGAAGACUGUUUCAAAUAUUAUAAGGGGUGCCAGGAUUGUCAAAAGUUCGGGAAUGUCCAGCGUGCACCCGCAUCGGCUAUGAAUCCCAUUAUCAAGCCAUGGCCGUUCAGGGGAUGGGGAAUAGACCUUAUCGGCCAAAUUUACCCACCAUCAAGCAAAGGGCACAAGUUUAUUCUGGUGGCUACUGAUUACUUUACCAAAUGGGUAGAAGCAGUUCCGUUAAGAGCCGUGACAUCGGCUAUCAUGGCCGACUUCGUAAGGGAUCACAUCGUCUACCGAUUCGGCAUCCCUCAGACUAUAACAACCGAUCAAGGAACAAUGUUCACAUCGGGGGAAUUUGAGGAAUUUACAACCGAUAUGGGAAUCAAAUUGUUAAAUUCUUCUCCGUAUUACGCCCAAGCCAAUGGUCAGGCAGAAUCCUCCAACAAAGGGAUAAUCAAGUUGAUCAAAAGGAAAGUCGAAGAACAGCCAAAGAAGUGGCAUCUAUGUUUGACCGAGGCCCUAUGGGCGUAUAGGAUGGCUUGUCAUGGGGCUACCAAGUUGUCUUCCUACCAGUUGGUGUACGGUCACGAUGCAGUACUACCAUGGAAAUCGAGGGCGGGAUCGAGGCGUAUUUCGCUCCAGGACUAGUUAACGGCCGAUGACUACUCAUCACUUAUGAAAAGGGAACUUGACGAUUUGGCUGGCCAACGGUUGAGGGCUCUGAUAAGCAUUGAAGAAAACAAAAAGAAAGUAGCCAGGUGGUACGACAAGAAGGUCAAAGUCAAACAAUUCUCCCCUGGGGACUUGGUAUGGAAGUUAGUGUUGCCGAUUGGGUCGAAAGAUCCUAAAUUCGGAAAAUGGUCCCCUACAUGGGAAGGGCCGUAUAAAAUCGGCAGAUGCGCUCCAGGGAAUGCUUACAUUUUGGAGACAAUAGAAGGAGAAGAAUUUACUAGAGCUCUGAACGGAAGGUACUUAAAAAGAUAUUACCCCAGUAUAUGGGUCAGAGCAUGAGGAAUUAACCGUAACACAAUCACACAUAGCCGAUGCAAAACGGUUCAAACACAUAGUCGUCCAAAUCGGCCGAUUGUAUUCAUUCGGUACGGGCGAUGGGUUACAUGGCCGACAAAACAUUAGUCGCCCUUAGAACAAAAAAUACAAAUAACUAAUUAUUCUUCUUCUUGCGCUCCCUCCCAUUCCGUUCCAACUCAUUCAUGAUGCGGAGGUAUUCUUCUUCUAUUUCCUUCAUUGAGGCCUCCGCUUCAACUUGACGAGGAAGAGGAUGACUCCUAUCCAUGGGCGGACGCGAAGUUCCUGCUGCCGCGUCUUCGAGAACGACUCGCGGAGGAAGUGGAUGGCUCCUGUCGGUGGGAGGUCGCCGGCUACCGUUGCUCUCUACAAAGUCCAAGAUUGUACGGGCCGCCAUGGUGACAUCGUCUUGAAGUUCGUCACAACGAUGGCUCCUGACGAUCGGAGAUCGUCGGCUACUAUCACUCUCCACGAAAUCCAAGACCACACGAGCCUCCGCAGUAACAUGGUCUCGAAGUUCGUCACGAUGAGCCAUGAUCAGCUCCUUAUCUUCGGACGUCAAUGGGUCCUCGGAGUGAAUGAGCUCAAUGGCGCGUAUGAGCUCCGGGCUAAGACGCUGAGGCUGAAACAAAAAGGAAUAAGAAGAGACAUCUUCUUCCUAGGAUCUAAAAGAGAAAGGAAAAUCAAGACCAAGAUUUCACCUGAUUGACAGAAGAAGAAGAAGCCGACGAAGACAUGACUGGAAAGCCGUGCCGACGAGAGAAGAAAGGAAAUGAAAAACGAAAGCUGAACUGGUACGUUCGGAGGGAAGUGCUUAGGCCGAUAUUUAUACAAAAAAGAUGCGUGGAAAUUUGGUAAGGCUACGUCCCAUCGGAAAUAAGAAGGCAAUAAAUAGAAAGGGUGUCACGAAGGACGGUCAAAGUAGAUAGUAAAUGUUCGUACAAGAUAGUCAGUGUUUUACAGGUUACCCAGAAGGGUAUCGAUAGCCGUGAUUGCCCGAUGCCGGAUCUGAUCGGCAGAGUCAAGAACCCGUUGGUCUUCAUCCGCCGAUCCAGGGACUUCUGAUGCACUGCGGUGGAGCUUUAGGGCCUCAUGGGCGAAGCGCUGCCUCUCCCGUGUCAAAUCGGCAAUGACAGAAGGGAGUUCUCGGAGCCUUUUCUCUUCGGCACUGAUUGCCUUGGUCACUUGCUCCAUCUCCUUGGCGAGUUCCGCCCUCCGACGCUUGAGGCGGUCUAUCUCACCGAUGAUCCUCGGGCGGGAGUCCUCUAGAAAAUGGAUUCGCCGAUGCGCCUCUUGAGCCUGACGUUUGAACGCGUCCUCCUCUUCACGAGUCUUGGCCAGCUUGGCGCGAUCGGCCAUGUGACGAAGGGCUCUGAAGACCGGGAUCCUCAUAGACUCGAUGAAGGCCGCCGGCGCCAGUGCCUCUUCCGCCUCCUCUGGUACUCGUCCGCUGACGUCACUGAAGAGCUGCCAAAUCGGUGAAGCAUCUUCUACUAAUCGACCGAUGUCCCCUUGAAGGAGGGAUCGGAUACUGGCAAGUUUGGCUCGGACGUCAUUAGGAACGGAGCUCAAGGCAACUUGGCGAGAAGCAACUUCUUCAUCGUCGGAGAGGGCGACCGCAAAAGAAAAGAGGCUGUUGUCGGGGGUGUCUUGUUCCUGGAAAUAACAAGAAGGAAGAAUAAAUCGGCUGGGAGUAAAAGCAAAUCGGCUGAGUAAAAGUCGGAACAUAACUUACCGCUUUGAAGCGAAUUUCUUCAUGUUGCACUUGGGAAGCCGACACGCCUUGCUCAGGGGCCUGCGCCAUGGGUUCAUCAGAUGAAGAAGAUUCCACAACGAUCGGCGCGUGGCUUGGACCAGCUCCCUGAGAAAAGAUCGGUGGUUGAGUAGCGCUUGGUGUGCCGAUGGCCUGUGUCAGAGGAUUGAAUAAGUACAUUAUGCAAAUACCAAGGAAAAUCGGUAAAAUAGUACCAUACCUCAAUGGAUGGAAGCGGGGGCGCGCCGAUGGCCGGUUGAGUUGCUGCUGAUUGUUGUAUGUCCAUAGGUGUGCUCUGUGCAGUCUAAGGAUAAGAAGGGUUAAUAUCAGAACAACAAUCGGGAGGAAUAAAACUUAGGUUUACCUGAACGGCCUCCAAUAACAAUGACGCGGCGGCUGCCCCAGCUUGCGUGACGGCUUGGGUAUCAGCAUCUUGGAUGACCUGAGAGGGUGGUGCGGCUGGAGUCUCUGCCGAUACGAGCACAGGAGGGUCCGCCGAUUCUAUACGAGCUCGGACUCGGCGACUGGACUUCUUGGUGGUCCUCUUCUGGACUUGUUUCGAUCGGCCAGCAAUCACAUCUACGGACGGAGCAUCAUAGCCGAUAAGAGGAUAAGUGGUGUAUGGAUGACUAUCUAUUAGCCGUCCGCUACGGCUGUGUGUCGGAGGAGUUCGAUUCUCGGCCUGAAGAAAUAGUAAAAUCAUUAGUGCUCAGUCACGUUAAGAGGAAUAAAAAUCGGCUAAGUAAAGUACCUCGGCGUUCGGGUCGAUGUUGGCUGGGUCCAGGAGGUUGCAGUAUGCCGAUGCCGAGUUGCAGAAGAGAAAUUGCUUCCAAUCGGCCCACCAGAGUUUGAACGGCUGGACAGCAAAGGGAGCUACUAGCCAGUCGUUCAGGUCAAUGGUACUGGAGUCCGGAAUUCGGUCUCGUAACCGACUGUAAUCCAGACCAGAUGUGAGCUCAUCUCUAAACUUGAUUCGGCCAGCAAAAUACACUUGAAUCGGCAGCUGACCCAUGCCGAACUGACGUGCUGCAACGGAAGGGUUGUAGAAUUCAUACGUAGGGGCAUCCUUCCCCGAGAAGAAGUUGGCUGGCAGGAGUCCUGGCUUGAUUAACUCAUCAUAAAGCUCUUCAUCAAAUCGGCCAGUAGUCGAAUCAAAGCAGGUUGGGAGUUCAAAGACCGGGUCGUCCCGCUGAUAAGGAAACCAAAUGGUUGCAUCUUCAUUAAAGCCGUUAUAGAAGCAUCGAAAGUACUAGGCUACCUUUGUAGCAGAAUACGUGCAACCUGGGAAAGCUGAUGCCGCUUCACUGAAGGACAUGCAUCGGCGACGUUCGGUAGGGUCUUCUGCCGAUUCGAUGUUGGGGAACAUCAUGCGGUCCACCUGCUGCUGAGUGAUCUUGCUCAUAUAAAGGUUCAGCCACAAAUUGAUGAACCACCAGGGUCCGCCCGAAUUGCCGAUCGGCUCUCCCUUGGAUAGUCUGAUGCCGAUUUGAUGGAGCAUGUGGUACGCGGCCCCUAACAGAUGUUUCCCAAGAGGGACAUGGUUUCCUCUAGACAGCGCUUCAGCUAAGGUCUGGGUAUUGGUUGACGGGCCGGCAGCUCUUCCGCAAAAGAAAUGUUUUUCUAGCCACAUCAUCAAGAAGGCCGUAUGCUCCCUAUUCUCAACAGACCCGGUUCUCUUAUUGCUUCUGAUAAAUCCCUUCCACCCACCGAUUCCCCUUGUGUCCAGCCGAUGUGACGUUGCGGCUAGAAGGUGGUAAGGUGUGUCCGGGGAAGAGAUGCCAAGGCCGGUCAACAGGACCACAUCGGCCAGUGUUGGGGUCAUAGGUCCGUGCCCAAAUAAGAAGGCAUUAAGUGCAUCAGACCAAAAGUAAGAAGUCGCCAUUACCAACGGCUCAUUUUUCUCCAUCUGGGACAAGGAUAGGUUGAUGCAUUGGCCGAUUUUGAGCUCUACUCAUGAGACGCUCUUUGACGCGGCUACCCGUUGGUACCACUCCCUCCAACCUGGGGUUUCAUUCGGCCAGGAUCUAAAAGUACCCAACCAUUGAUCUAAGUCCAUAUCGGACAGUUUGAAGGGUAUCCUGUGGAUUUCCAAAUUGAUAAAAUCUAUUGGAUCUGGAUUUCCCAUAGGUCCGAGGCAAACAAGGCUGGGAUUUCCCGUAAGAUGAAUGGUAAUGCGAUGCCUAACUGCCUAAAAAAGGAAAGGGGAGUGUAAAAAAUAAGGAACAGAUCUAAGGUAAAUGUAUUGCCGAUAGAAGAAGGAUUCGGUAUUUACCUCUGGGAUGAAGUUCUGAGUGAUCGGCGUGGUCGCCGGUGCAGAUGCGGACGAUGGGGCCACGAUGGGGAUCGCCAUUGGGAUCUCUGAUGAAGUUCCUUCUUCUGUGGAUGGAGCAACGGCCGUCGUCACCACCGCUGGAGGCGCUACUUCUGGAACAUCGCGCGCGGGAGAGCUGCCGGAAGGAGCCGCCAUUGGAGGAGAAGAGGAGAAAGUAACAGGAGGUGGUGCUAGAAAGCUUCGGCGGCAAGGGAAAGAUGCUGAAGGAAGAAGAAGGUGCGCGCGCUGGGAAAAGAGACGUAAGCUUGAAGAUGAAGUGCGGGGUGAAGCGCUAUUUAAAGGAUGCCUGAAGGGGGGUAAAAACGGAAUUUUCACCGCGCCGGCGUUUCGAUUUUUUCGGGAGUAGUGGCUGUCGUGGGCGCCCGUUUCGAAAAGAUUGCAAUCAUCAGCUGGAAGACCGCGAAACGGAAGGAUAUUUUCAUUGCGGCCGUUUCGGAGGGGAGGUUAUAAAGAAUUUCGAAGUAAAAGACUAUGUUUUACUCCGAAACUGGGGGGCAUGUGUUGACGCCAGAUUUCGUCACUAGUAAUCGGCGCUAAGAAGAGAGGAAAUCGGAGAGGCACAGUUGGGAAUCGGUCGAAUGGUGCUACAGUGCGAGAUUGGCCGAUGACUUCUGUCUCGCUUCGGGUCGAAUGUGCCGGAGUCCCAAUCGGUUGCCUUUUGCCGAUAAGGAAUCGGCAGAUUAGGAGGAUGGGUUAAUUGGGCCUGUAUGGGCUUGGAAAGGAAUAAGAGGAUGAGGGGGAGGUCAGCCCAUGAAGCGUGGAGUAACUAACCGAGCACGAAUCGUGCUUGUAGAUAUUCGUUUUCUGUUUGAAUUAGGGAUAGAAUUCUAGUCGGUUAAGAAGUUAUCUGUACGGGGCUAUAAAUAGCUACCUUUGUAAAUCUGUAAUUAUCAACCAAUCAAUACAACAAGCUACUUUUUCCUCGUACUUACUUUCAAGCAGGCGACUUCGCCAUUACUUUCCUCUUUUUCACGAGUUCGUGCGGGUUGGCAGGGCUGCAUCAUCUUGAUCUCCGGCCGAUUCUGUAAGUUCCGCUUAUCGAGUAAUAUCUAAGCUUUAACUUCGGGCGUAUCGCUGUUGUUUCGUUUAGAUUUUUAUUCACUAGUUAUCGAUAUUUACUAGAAUCAUAGGGUUUUUGCCUGUUGUUCUAGUUUUAUCACCAGUUAUCCAGCUAGGAAUCGGUAGUUUCGGCUUCAUACACGUUCUGUUAUUAAAUUCAUCUAUUGCUGAUUAGAUCUAUUCCUAGUGUUGUUAUCAUAGCUCUGUGUCAAUUACUCUAGUAAUUUCCUGUCUACAAGGCUACAGUGAUCGGCUGCCUUAUAGCCGAUUUCUCUAUUACAGCAAAUCGGCCGAUUCGCUGAUAAGCUCUCUCGAGAUCGGAAACUUAGCCGAUCGUGAUUUCUGAACCUGACACGUAUUCUUCCUUGCCAAUCAACAGGUCAGAUUGGCUGGCACGCCGCGCGAACCGCACCAGGGCAUUCACCCGAACAGGAGCUAAGCAGAUUCUCCCAGGUCGUGUGUCGGACGCUGGGAUUCGGUUGACCGAUUUCUAGCGCCAACAGGAACAAAUUUAGGAGUACGGAAUAAAUUUAAGGUCUGACAAAAUCAAAAAUUGAAAGUAACCAAAAAGAUAUCCUUUUCAUUAUAAUAGCACGAAACAGUGAAGGGCGGAAUAAAUUGCAAGCUCGAUGAUCAAACAUUUAGGAGAUAAUAGCUGCAGGUCAAGAGAUGAUCAAACAUUUAGGAAACAACACAUGAAAUGCACAACCACCGAUUGACCAAAACGAAAAGGAAAUUAAAAUGAAUGCCUAAUGAUUUGAUUUCAAAUAAAAAAUGCUAAAAUGAAAAUUUGCAAUCCUGAACACUCUACCCCACUGCGGAGUCAAAUCCAAAGGCUCCCGGUGCUCUUCAGAACCCCAACCUCUUCCGGCUUUGGGCCCAGCACUUUUCUCCAGCAGGCUGUCCUGAACAAGUAACUUACAUUCCAGCAGAUUGGGCCUCAUUCUUCAUCAAUAUGCUGCUGUCACCUCAGCACUUUGAUUGGGCCAAAAACUUUCUUGCCUCCUCUGCUUGGAACUUCAUGCUCAGCUGUGUGGACAAUCCGUCGAUGAUGGCCUUCAACAUUCCACCAGUUUGUCCCAGAACCAGCCCCCUACCUUGCAUCAGUCAAGAAGAAGAAGGUGGUAUAUCUGCAGCUUCCUAUGUGGAGAAGGCUGCUAAGACACCCUCUACGAAGAAAGCAAGGGCAAGGCUUGGGAGCUCGGUGGCUCCGGAAUGUGAAUCUUCUGUCAGGAGGAGUAGCAGAAUCAAGGCUAGAAAUGAAGGCUUUCGUGCUGCUACCUGCCAAAACAGCAGUUGCUUGGCCUGCCACUCGAAAGCCCCCAUCCUAUCCUCAACGCACAUUCAGGGGCUGGGCGAAAAGGUAUGCAGCAUUGUUUCGUCUAAAAUUUCUUCUACUAGCUUGUCAGCCAAGACCAACCCCAUGAAGGUGGUAGGAAUCAAAGGAUCUUCAUCAUCCCAGGAGACACCGAAGAAGGCCAAGAAGACCAAGCCUCAAGGACCGAAAUCUGGAAGCUGAAAGAAUUAUGGAUGCUGUUCUUUUUAAUUCCUGUCUGUUGGUGAACAUGUCCUGUUGCAAGCCUUUUCUUAUGACAGUCACAAACUAUCAUCUGUCUUUGUCUAGGGGAAUCUUUUGCUGGAACGUUGGUUUCGUUUAUAUGGUGGUCCUGUUUGUUGCAUCAGUGAUUGGGAUUGUUUUAAGAGCUGUCAUGGUUUCUUCUUUCUGAAUCCUGAAGGUUUUUUCGGUUGGGGUCUCUAUCCCAUUUGGAUCAUGGGGCCCUUGGAAGCGAAGUUUUCUCUUUUUUGAUUAUGAGUCGUAAACGUUUGUGGAAUAUCUUAUCUUGGAACGUGAGAGGUAUUAAUUCAUCGGUCAGAUGGAAUGCGAUUAGAAGCAAAAUAGUGGAAUCGAAUGCAGAUAUCAUAUGUUUGCAAGAGACCAAAAGAGAGGUUUUCUCUGACACGUAUCUCAGGAACUUCUGUCCUCCUGCUUUCACCCUUUUUGAUUUCAUACCAUCUAUAGGCAAUUCAGGAGGAGCUAUUAUGAUAUGGAAUGCUAAUAAGUUUCAGGGUCAACCAAUCUUUCAAAACAGUUUUGCUCACUCUGUGGAGUUACAGUGUAAGUUGUCAGGGGAAACAUGGAUUCUAACCAACAUCUAUGCCCCAUGCACUCCAGAAGGUAAAAUAGAAUUUCUGGACUGGUUCAAGAGAAUCAAGAUGCCGGAUGAUGAAAAAUGGCUAGUGGUAGGGGAUUUCAACCUGAUAAGACGCCCUUCGGACCGAAAUAAACCUGGAGGUCAUCCGCAAGAAAUGAUGCUGUUCAAUGAAGCAAUCAGCAGGUUAGGACUAACAGAGAUUCAGCUCAAAGGAGGAAAGUACACUUGGACAAAUAAACAGGUUAAUCCGUUACUAGAGAGGUUGGAUUGGUUCUUCUCAUCUUCUGCCUGGAUUUCAGUCUAUCCAAACACAUGGGCAACAACUCUGUCAAGAGACUACUCUGAUCACAAUCCUUGUGUCAUUUCUAUAUCAAAUCUUAUGCCUUCUUCUCAAGUUUUCAGAUUUGAAAACUACUGGAUGCAUCAUGAACAAUUCAAUGACAUACUGCAUAAUGUUUGCACUUCUCCGGUUUCAUACUCUGAUAGAGCUCACAUCAUUGGUGCAAAAUUCAAAAAGCUGAGAAGAGAACUUAGAAUAUGGAAAGCAGGGUUACCAAGUCUGGCAAAAACCAUUCAAAACACAAAGAAGGUCAUUCUUUUCCUAGAUAUUCUAGAAGAAUCUAGAGAUCUAUCUCUGCAAGAAUGGAACUUAAGAGAUAUUAUCAUGAAUCAUCUAAAGAAUCUUUUACAGCAACAGAAAACUUAUUGGCAGCAAAGAUGUUCCAUCAACUGGGCCAAAAUGGGUGAUGAAAGUACAAGAUUCUUUCAUGCAAAGGCUUCCAUACGAAACAAGAUCAACCACAUUUCGACGCUACAAGACCAGACUGGACUGAAUGUCAAAAAACAUGAAGAUAAAGCAAAUCUAAUUUGGGUGGAAUACAAGAAUAGAAUGGGCAGGUCUGACUACCGCCACAUGUAUAUAGAUCUAAGUAUUACUCUAUCUCCAUCAGAGGGGCUACAAGUUUUAGAGGAGUCUUUCUCCAAAGAAUAAAUUGAUGGUAUCAUCAAGGAUCUACCAACAAAUAAAUCUCCAGGCCCUGAUGGUUUUAAUGGGGAAUUCCUCAAACGAUGCUGGCAUGAAUUGGCCGAAGAUUUUUAUGCUUUAUGUGAUGGCUUUCAUAAUGGGGAAGUCUGUAUGCGUAGCAUCAACUCCUCUUUCAUUACUCCUAUCCCGAAAAAAGCUGGCCCUUUGCAUGUGAGUGACUACAGGCCAAUAUCUCUGCUGAACUCAUCAAUAAAGCUCAUCACAAAAAUUCUAGCGUUGAGACUUCAAAAGGUCAUCACUAAUCUCAUUCAUAAGAAUCAAUAUGGUUUUAUCAAAUCUAGGACCAUUCAGGACUGCUUAGCUUGGGCUCUUGAAUUUCUACACUGCUGCAAAUCUUCAAAGAAGGACAUCAUCAUACUCAAAUUGGAUUUUGAAAAGGCUUUUGAUCGUAUUGAGCAUAAGGCCAUCUUAGAGAUCCUGAAACAUAAAGGCUUUGGGGAGAAAUGGAAUGGAUGGAUUAAGGCUAUUCUUGAUUCAGGCACAUCGUCAGUGCUUCUGAAUGGUGUCCCAGGUAAAACUUUUCACUGUAAAAGAGGGGUAAGGCAGGGGGACCCUCUAUCACCUCUUCUGUUUGUGCUUGCUGCUGACUUACUCCAAUCCCUUAUUAAUAAGUCUAAGGAUGAAGGACACCUUUCUCUCCCAAUCCCCUUGAGAGCCAGCAAUGAUUUCCCAAUUGUUCAGUAUGCAGAUGACACUUUACUCUUCAUGGAGGCUGAUCCGAGUCAGUUAAUACACUUAAAAAAUCUUCUGGAUAUUUUUGCAGAGUCUACUGGGUUAAAAGUUAACUACCACAAAUCCAUGAUGGUCCCCAUAAACACUCAGCAGGACAAGCUUGAUCUCUUGGCUGGUAUUCUAAAUUGUCAAACAGGAGCAUUUCCUUUCACCUAUCUGGGUUUACCUCUGGGAUUACGUAAACCGAAUAUGCAAGACUUUCUCCCUUUGAUCAAGAGAAUAGAAGGGAAAUUAGGUGGAAUAUCAUCUAUGCUUUCACAAGGAGGAAAAUUACAGUUGGUGAACUCUGUGUUAACAUCUUCAGCUAUGUUUCAGAUGGGCACUUUGAAACUACCUAAAGGACUUAUCCAUCAGAUUGACAAAUUCCGCAAACACUGCCUCUGGAGAGGCUCAGAUCUAACAUCUACCAAACCGUCCAAAGCUGCUUGGCCUUUAGUUUGUUUACCCCAAAUGUCAAGGGGGAUUAGGGGUGCUCAACAUAAUUACACAGAAUGAGGCUCUGUUAUUAAAGUUCUUACACAAUUUUUUCUCCAAAGUUGAUUUGCCUUGGGUUCACUUGAUAUGGGACAAAUUGUACAGCAAUGGUACUCUUCCGGGUGUUCAAAAGAAGGGCUCCUUCUGGUGGAAGGAUAUCGUCAAGUUGCUACAUAAAUUCAAGGGAUUUGCAUCUGCUCGGGUUGCGGAUGGAAGCACUGUGCUGCUUUGGCAAGACUUGUGGAAUGAUCACUUUCUACAAUCUGAGCUUCCCCACCUCUUUUCCUUUGCCCAGAACAAAAAUAUAUCGUAUCACAAAGCGAUAAACACGACAGAUCUCGGUUUGCUGUUUCACUUACCUUUAUCCACAGAAGCUCAUUCGGAACUCAUUAUGCUUCAGGAUUUUAUGCACAAUUUAGUCUCACAGAAUGAUUCUGAUACUUGGUCUUAUAUCUGGGGAUCCUCAACCUUCUCAGUCAGUAAAGCAUACAAGGCAUUAACAGGACAAAGGGAAACACACCCAAUACAUCGCUGGCUGUGGAAAUCGAAAUGUCAGAAAAAGCACAAAGUCUUUUUCUGGCUUCUGCUUAUAGACAGGUUAAAUACAAAAGAUGUCCUACAAAGAAGGGGGAUGCAUUUGGACUCUAACGUCUGCGAAAUGUGUAUCCCCUAAAAAAGGGAGAUGGUAACACAUCUUUUUCUAAGAUGCAAUUUUGCAAAAGCCUGCUGGAAUUCGAUUGGAAUUUCUUUUGUCUCCACAAGAUCGUCUGUUCAUAUCUUCAAUCAGAUUAGAAGGCAGAUGAACACCGCCUUCUUCAUGGAAGUCAUCAUCCUCAUGUCUUGGAGUAUUUGGACCACAAGGAAUGACUGGACUUUCAAUAAUGUGGAUCCUUUGACUUCAGGAACUCGAUCUAAAUUUUUGUCUGAGCUCUCGUUGGUGGCUUCGCAUAGGAUGAACCCUGUUUUAAGUUAGGAAUGUUUAGAUUGGAUCCACUCCCUCUGAACCUCCUCUUUGUCCCCUGUUUUUUACUUUUCUCUUGUUUGUUGUUUUGGUGUUUUUUGCUCUGUAACCUUUUCAGACCUUUCUUUAAUAUAUUUCAGUAGGGCUCGUCCCUCCUGUUUCUUUCAAAAAAAAAUUUGCAAUCUGUACCUCUCAAUUCAGCCUCGCCCUUGCCCUUGGACUCCAUUUUAGCCUGUGCACUUCUGAUUCCCUGCGUUGUACGCUGCUUCUUGUAACACCAAUGGUGUUUACUAUAAAUUAAACCUUACUUAAGCACUAAUGAGGAGAAAUAAAAAGGAAAAGAGAAAAGAAAAGGAGAAAUACAGAAAAGAAGACUUGGUCAAACAAGGUUGAAUUAGAGAGUUGACUAAGUCAACCAUGGUCAAAUUAAGUAAAAAAGGUGAAUUUGGAUCAAAUGUGACAAAUGGAGUGGAAUAAAUUCAAAUCCAGUUUGAAUUUUUAAAUUUAAACUUGAUUUGGAAAGAGGAGUCAAAUGUGGUCAAGUACCCAUGUUUGAGUGUUGUUUCAAAGGAUUUUAUAUAACAACUUUGGAAAAUAUUCUACUAAGAGUUUGAGUAUAAUGUGUAUAGAACACUUUGGACUUGAUUCGGUUCACAGAAAAUGGAAUUUGUGUAUUUUAAUUGAAGCUCAAAGUUUGAACUUUGUGCUGUUUGGAGACUUAGGCAGAUUCUCAAUUCAGUAUCUGUAACUGAAACUCAUAUUCAGUUCAUAAUCAAAUCUUCAGAACCCUUAAUCUCUCAAACCGUGGAUCCUUUGAACAAAGUUCAUAUCUAUCAUUUGUAUACCUAUGUUACAUCUACAUUUUUGUUUAUUGGUGCUUGAAGAGAUUGUGUUUGGUUUGGAUGAAUUUUGCUUAAGAAAGAAGGAAUAUUUCUGUGUACCAAAGCCAAAACAUACAGCAGUAAGGGUGCUUUUGGUUGGGCUUUCCAACCUACUUUUAAGUCAAAAGCUAACCAAAGGACCUAAAAGCCACAUAUGCUUUAGGUUAAAAGCUGCUUUUGCUUUAGGGUGUUUUUGAUUGGGCUGUGGCUUUUGGAAAAGCUCCUGUGAGCUGUAGGCUGUAGAAAAACAGUUGUGAGAAAGCAGCUGUGGGAAAAGCAGAAGACUGUUUGGUUACAGCAACUGUGAAACUGUAGGCUGUGUAAGAAAUACAUAUAAUGUCCCUAAAGGUCUGAGGGUCUGUUUAUAUGCAAAUUGUUCGUAACAAAAUAUUGGGUUCACUAAUUCUCAUGUAAAUGAGUAUUUUAGAACGGAAAAAAAUAAAAUUUAUAUGUUCUUCAUCCAUUAAAGUGAUUGUUCCACAUAAAUAGAACAAUAUUCAUCAAAAGACUUAUAUAAUGAUGCUAUCCCUCAACAUUACUAUCAUCUUCUCCCACUAACCAAAGCAUUAGCUAUCUUAGUACGAAUGGUAUUCAUGGUAUCCUCAUUCUCCACACGUUUCUCAUCUUCGGAUAUGACUUUUCUCAUCUUCGGAUAUGACUAUUUAUUGAUGAAAUAUUUUUUAUUUCCAUAACCAUAUCCAUUAGCGGGUCCCACUUGUCAUUCUCGGUGCCUAUCGUUUCUUUUUUUCUUUUUGCCUCGACCGUAUCUUCUAGCAUUGGACGAGCAUCAUCACCCAACGUCAAUCCCAGGAUGGAGAGGAGCUCGAGCUUGCCUGGGCCAUAGCCGCCCAAUGCGAGCUUUGCCUGCACCAUGGCUGCCCAGCUUGAGCUUGCCAACGGCAUGGCCGCCCAGCUUGAAGACGAAGUACAGCACCUUGGUGCGCAGUAGGAAGUUGCGCUCGACGACGAAGACGAUGAGCGUGACGAGCCACUGGCUGAGGAGGUGGUCUUCUCGGCGGUGACCAUGACACAACACUUCCAGAUCUCCAGCCCCAAGAGGACGCGCCUCCGUAGGGGCCGCACGACGAUGCUGACGACGAGCCGCGCGAGGACGAGGACGAGCACGGAGAGCUCGAGGCCGAGGCACGCCUGGCGGCGGCACCGUGCCGCGAAGGCGGGUCUCCGGGAGCCGUCACUGUUGCGGAAGAGGUCUAUUUUACAUCGCUAUUGGCUUGUUCAUUGUUAUUGAGGUUAUUAAUUGCUGGGUUACAAUCUAUGGUUCUGGUUUUUGUCGGACUAGCUACAGUAAGAUCGCAUCGAGUUCUCUCAGUGUACCUAUCAUAAGAUCCAGUUAAAUUCACUUGAAAAUUACACGCAAAUCGGUAAAUGUUCUGUAAUUUGUCAAAGAAGAAAAAGGAAGUUGUGUUACAGGAUAACGACUAUAAUCUUAUUGGGGCAAGAAAUUAGACAUACGGAAUUUUUACCACAUAUUGUUUGUGCAUUUCAUUAAAAAAAAAGGCAUUGAUCAGCCCCAUCUAAACGUCUUAAAUAAAUGAAUGCAACACAUAGCGUUCAUCUGAUACUGUUGUAAUAUGUAUCUGCCAUCUUCUAAAUCUCAACUGAAAACUUGCAUCCCUAGCCAUUGCAAUAGCAACCUGUCUCUAUCAUCCUCAGUCAGUCAAGUAACAAACAUUAGGAAUGCACCACCACUCGCUGUCAUCUCAGUCGUAUGAUUCUAAAUUUCUAAUUAAUUACUUCCUCCAUCCCAAAAGACUAUUUGUUUAGUCUCCAAAACUUGUUCUAAAAAUAGUGUUUAUAUAACUUUCAGAUCAUCCAACAAAAGCCUUCAUAAUACCUUCUGACUCAGUGAACGAAUCGAUCAAUUACUCCAAUCAUCGAUGCCCGAUCUAGACUCGCUAAAUAAGGAAGGCUAAUAGAUCCGACAAUUACUGUAAGCGUGCAUGCAUAAUUAAUUAUACUCGGCAAUCCAUCCGAUUAAGAAGAGUUAUUAGGGGUGCUUUGAACUUCUAGUAUUUUUACUAUCUUGUCUAAAAUUUUCUAAACGAACUGUCUUUGUAGGACGGAGGGAGUAGGCGUUGUUGAAUUAUAUUUGUUUAUGAAAAAAGACAAUCACCCAGCAUAUAGUGCCUCCAUUUAUUUCGUACAGUGACAAAUAUUAUUUGCAUAACACAGCCUUUUAAUUUUCUGAUUCAUUCACCAAUUAUUAACCACUGUGCACGAACCGCCUAAUGACCCGGAUCAGCUCGUCCGAGGCCUCCCCGCACGGCUCCGUGACGAAGAAGGCGUGCCCCUGCCCCUCGAACACGACGAGCUCGACCUCCUUGCCGGCCGCCCUCAGCCUCGCGACGUACUCCCCGACGCGGUCGUGGAGCACGUCCUGGUCGGGGUCGAGGACGAGCACCGGCGGGAAGUCGCCGCCGAGGUCGCCGAACGGGACACUCCCCCGCGCGAGCGGGUUCGCGAUCGGGUGGUCCUUGGUGGCGCCCGCCGGCAGCGCCAGGCGCCACAACUGGUCGAACAGCGCCAUGCCCAUGGGCUCGCCGGGCGGGGACGCCGCCUCGGACGGCGUCAGCUCCUCGCCGCCGAAGUAGGGCCAGAGCAUCACGCAGCCGGCGAGCCGGAGCGGGGUGAGUGGGAGCUCCCCGGACCCGUGGCGCACGGAGAUGUGGUGCGCAAUGUUGCCGCCGGCCGAGUCGCCAGUGACGAACACCCGGCGGAAGUCGGCCGACUCGGCGAGCCACGGGUCGGCGCCGGCGGCGCCGGCGGCCUGGGAGCGGAGCCAGGAGAAGACGGACUCGGCGUCGUCGAGCGCGGCGGGGAGGCGGUGCUCUGGCGCGAGGCGGUAGUCGGCGGAGAGCACGACGGCGGGCAGCUCGGCGGCGAGGCGGAGCGCGCCGGCGUGGAAGUUGAUCACCUCGAAGCUGGCGACGCAGAAGCCGCCGCCGUGGAAGUACACGAGCACCGGCAGCUUCUUCUCCUCCACCCCGCCGCCAGCGCCGGCGGUGGAGAGCCGGUACAUGCGGAGCCGGAGGCCGUGCGCGCCGUCGUAGACGACGUCCUUCCACUCCACGGGCAGGUCCGGCGGCGGCACGCCGCCAACGAGGUACAGCCGUCGCUGAGCAGCUGGACGAAGCCGAGGCAGUCCUCGACGACAUCUGGCGCUGCCGCCGAGCUUGCUGGAACGGCCGACGACAUGACAAGUUGGCUACUGAACAGUGAACACGUACAGGAGUGUGACCGAGCAAGUCACGAAGCAUUACGGCCGAUACAUAGCCAGGCAUGGACUCGCAAGGAUGCCCUUGCCUUUAUUUCGUUGACUUGGACUGGACUACCGGACCCACCGGUCAGCGACACUAGGCUAGUCAGAGAGCCGUGCGUCGAUCAGCCGCCGUGGACUUCUCCUACCCGCGAAGUGAGAUUUUCCACACGUGAUAAGCACAAUCCGUGCCACGGAGGAUGACACGUCACUGUCUCCUCCGCGUGUCGAAUGCUCGUCGGUCACUGCAACGAAGAUAAGCUCAAUGCUCGUCGGUUCGAAGUCACUCUGCUCGUACUUUUUGUGUUGAAGUCUGUGCCGAAUGCCUUUAAGCUUUUUUGAAAAACGCAGGAAAGAAAUGGCCAGUGUCGUGCGCUUGUUGGAUUGAAAAGGAAGACACAUCGCGUUCGCAUAGCAGCUAGAAUCUAGACACUACGCUUUGGAUUGCUGCUUCUCAUCAGCAUGGAAGGCGACGCGCCGCCGCGCGUCGUCGAGGACUGCCGCGGCGCGCUCCGCGUGCUCAGCGACGGUACCGUCGUCCGGUCCACGCCGCCGAUCGCCGGCGACACCGAGGGCGUCCGCGCCGACCCGUCCGUCGAGUGGAAGGACACCGUCUACGACGCGGCGCAUGGCCUGGGCCUCCGCAUCUACAUGCCCGCCGCCGCGGCAGCCGCCGGCGGCCGGGACACGAAGCUCCCCGUCGUGGUCUACUUCCACGGCGGCGGCUUCUGCAUCGGCUCCUACGCGUGGCCGAUCUUCCACGCGGCGUGCAGCCGACUCGCCGCCGGUCUUUCCGCUGUCCUCGUCUCCGCCGACUACCGCCUCGCCCCCGAGCACCGCCUCCCCGCCGCCAUCGACGACGCGGCCGCGGUCCUCCUCUGGCUCCGCGACAGCAUCGCCGCCGGUGCCGACCCCUGGCUCGCCGCCCACGCCGACGCGGGCAGAGUCCUCGUCGCCGGCGAGUCGGCGGGCGGCGUCCUCGCGCACCACAUGAACGUCCGCUUUUCCUCCGGCGCGCCGCUCCACCCCGUGCGGCUCCGCGGCUUCGUCCCGCUCAUGCCGUUCUUCACCGGCGGCGGCGAGCCGACGCCCUCCGAGCUGGCAUGCCCCGACGGCGCGUUCCUGAACCGCGACAUGUCGGGGCGGUACGUCCGGCUGUCGCUCCCCGCCGGCGCCACAGCGGACCACCCGUUCUUGAACCCGUUCUCGCCGGACGCGGCGCCGGGGCUGGACCGAGUUGACGUGGGGCCGACGCUGGUCGUCGUGGCCGGCGACGACAUGCUGCGGGACAGGAACGUGGAGUACGUGCGGAGGAUGGAGGAGAUGGGGAAGCCGGUGGAGGCCGUCGUGUUCCCGGGGCAGGGGCACGCCUUCUUCUCGCUCCGCCCGUGGAGCGAGCCGGUGGAGGAGAUGAUCCGGGUUGUGAAGCGGUUCAUGGACAAGGUCUGCUCGGGCUGAGCUGAGCGGUUACUGUAGAUGCACCGAGCUGCUACUUUGUGUUCUGAUUUUUCACUGCAAGCUGCAUAAAAUAAAGGGAGACUAAAUUUUAAAUCUCUAUUACUGGAUAUUUACAAUGUUGUCCAUAAAAACUUAGCUUCAAAUUCGGCCGGGCUUCAUGUUGCCGCCAUCGUGGGGUAUGGGCCUGAUUUCUACGCAUACUGGGCUGGGCCAACAUUUGGUGACCGGUGCUUUGUUUUGACCCAACAGAAGUCCCACCAACCUCAAAUUCAGAGGACCUAACAAUCCUCUCAAAAAUUUAGUAAUAAAUAUAUACAAUCUUCUAAAAUAGUAUUGAAAAAACACUCACGAAAACACACGCUUGCUCACUUGGACCAAGACGUCCUUUUAUAAUCGGACUAUUCAAUAUGAACUAGAGCAUUGAUCUCUCUGUUCAAUUGCUUUCUUUCAAGAGGACAAUAUGUCCGAAUUUCUACGCAUACCAAGUGGACCAUAUGGUUAGAUGUGCAUUGCAUGCACACUGGUACAAAGAGUUAUCUUUGCUUCCUGUCACUCCAGAGCUCUGAAUAACAGAAUCCAUCCAAAACAAUCGAUCUGCUUUCUCCACACCCCCAUUGGAUACAUUAUUACUUUAUUAGUCUAUCCCCCCAUACAUUAUUACUUUAUUAGUUUAUUAGUCCAUUAUUAGUCUAUCCAACGAUACAUUAUUAGUCAUUAUUAGUCUAUCCGCGCCUCCCACCUCCCUCCCCUACUCACACAUAGACAUGUAAGUACCAUUCUGGGGUGGCACUCACCAAUGUACCAAUAGUGGCAGGCCCAAUUUGCCGUGGACUGACUCGCAACUCAUCGUAGCUGUCAAUCUAACCCUCCUACCUACCAGGCGCCCCUCCCACCUCCCUCCUCUCCUGCUCACACGCGCCUCCCCUCCUUCCCCUCCUCACGCGCAGGCAGCCGUAUCGAACUGGCGUCAGUCAGCUAGAUCUCCGCCUUACAGGUAAAAUAUUUCUGUGCAUUUCUGUUUUCUGUUUAGAAUUAAGCAGAGAUUGCAUGAUGCUAGUAAGCAGUCAUCCCAUAUGUUGAACACCUUAUAUGCCUUAGUUUCCAUUCCUUAAUUUGUGUGCUUGUACCAACAACUUGCUCUAAUCUUGACAUAUGGGAAUUAAAUCAGCUGGCCCAUGGCUGGAGGGAAUUCCACCAUAGACUGCUCCUACGAUGCACUGGAGCAAUGCUCCUCUAAGAUAUGGUGCGAUGCUGGAGUGGGCAUAUGCUCCGAUAGGAUUACAUGCGAUGCCUCCUCAUUCGACAAGAGCAUGGGACAGAAGAUAUGGCUUAUGAACUCACUCCUGUUCAUCAGUGCCCUCCUGGCUGGAGUCAUGGUCGGGAUAGGCAUCUACGGCCAGCGCUACCGCCACCACCGCUUCACCAGGUUUAUCUUCCUCGGAGCCACGACCCUGUUCUUGCCUGUCGUCUCCACUGUUGUCUCCAUGGGCGCCGGGAACAGUAACCACAGAAUACACGACUAUGAAAACGGCGGCACUCGGUUGAUUGCAGAGUGCCAACCAGGAGUACACUCGGUCCUGGUUUUAAUAUGGGCAUUCCUUGUUCAGAUCAUCAUGAUCAAUACCAGUGCAGUAGUUGCUGUCGAUGAUAGAGAAGGUGGAAACGUAGGUCCUCCAUUUGAGCUGCUUGUUCAGAGUGUCUGGACCUUUUACCUUGGUAUCAGCAAUUCCAUUCUCUACACCACAUAUCACACCACGGAUCUAAUUAUUACUGCCCUUGCAGCCACAUCUUUUGCUCUCACGAGUGCCAAAAUAGUAUUGAAAUAUUAUGCAUAUGGAAAGGCGCAACGAUCCUUUGCUCUCGGACGCAAUCCCCAUCUUAUUUUUGGAUACAUGAAGCAACAAUCGUUACAAGGAACAAGUCAGGAUGGUGAACCAAUGGUAGCUGAGGAUGCACCUCCCCCGCUGCUGGUUAUGGGAGAAGAGAAAAGACACGUGGAGAAGCAGCGUCUUGGGUAUGUGUUCAAGGAUGACUCAUGGACAACUUCGCAUAACAAUGGCCUGGUGACUAUUGAUAGAGUUUGGAGGAUGGAUAACGUGCUUCCAACAUCAACACUGAAACCACAAAAAGACUUAUGCUUGUCAUUUGCACUGUUCAAGUUGUUGCGGUGCCGAUUUGCAAGGUACAAGGUCGGAACUGCUGCCUCCAAGGGCACCUUCAGUUUUUUCUGGAGCUUAUUGCUGAAGGAUGGCGAACAAGAUAGGGUCUUUUUGGUCAUUUCGGAUGAGCUUUCUUUCCUUCAUGAUUAUUAUUAUUCAUCCCUCCCGAUCUCCUAUUCCAAGUAUUGGUUGCCCGUUGCCGGUAUCUUGAUCUCACUACUGAGCAUAGCUUACUGUUGUGCAUUGAUGAUCACAAUAACGUUUUUGGUAGUGGACUAUUACAGAAUUAUUACUAGAUUUCCAACUGGACGAAAGUUAUGGACCGUACCUCAGAUUUGGUGCACUGCUUAUUGCAUUCGAGGAGAUCUGAUGGGCCACGGCAUGGAUAAAGAUUAUGGGAACAGGUACCUCGUUCUUGCGCCAGUAAUUUUGCUUUCGGUGUUAGUCAUGAUGUCUGAGGUGAGGGACAUAGCUACCUACAUCUACUCCAACUGGACUAAAGUUGCCGUCUCCUGCCACCUUGUAAACCAUGCCUCUUCGCAGCAUUCACUUCUCAAGAAGAAAUGGAUUGGCCUUCUGCUGCGUCGUCGAUGCAAGCUGAUGAAGCAUUGGGAUGAGAAAAUAGGUCAGUGCACUAUGCUGGAGAUUCGCCCGAGAACAACCCUGCCUGUACUUCUCAUGCGUCUCCUCCACUUACCAGACCACAAGAGGAAGGUCAAGGUGCCUGCAGCAGUGAAGGUUUGCAUCAUGGAAGUUGUAAGAAGCACUAGAAAUGGAGACCUUAGCAAUGGCACAGCAUCUCUCCGCUGCCGGGGCCAAGUUGGUGAAAGGCUCCUCUGGGCUUGCCACAACAAGAGUGCGUCUUAUACCUUACUGACAUGGCACAUCGCCACAAGCAUCCUCGAGGUCAGGUACCCACACCGGCUUGAUCAACAACAAGGUUCUUCUUCUCCAAUUCCGAACACGGACUAUAAGAUCGUUGCCACUCACCUAUCAAGGUACUGUGCUUACCUUGUGACAUGGUGCCCUGAGUUACUCCCUGAUGAUGAUGCAUGGAGCAGGAGCCUGUACGAGGAUGUCAAGAAGGAUGUUGAGCGUGUACUUGCCGGCUGCACAGCAGGAGACUCACUGACGCCAGAAGCAAAUUGCCAACUGCUGAUCGAAGUGCUGAGUGCAGAUGCGAAGCAUGAAGUGCUCAAGGAAGGCGCUAGGCUUGGAAAGCAGUUGUUGGCGCUGGUGGUCGAAGGUGAGGACGAUACGGCGUGGAAGUUACUGGCUGAAUUUUGGUCGGAGAUGAUCGUGUAUGUCGCGCCAUCCGACAACCUCAAAGGUCAUUCGGAGGCCAUCGCCAGGGGUGGCGAGCUGAUAACUCUGCUCUGGGUGUUGCUCUUCCAUGCUGGGAUCGUCAGUAGGCCAGGUGAGGACGACGGCGUUGCUCCUACUUCUGCUGGCGUGGUUUAGUAGAGUCUCCUAUGUUUGGAACUACUGUUUCCUCCUUGUUUCGGAUUCUUCAUCGUGGUGGUGCGUUGUCUGCAGUUGUUUGUGUAUGUGGAAUUCAUUUCAAAUACCAGAAUUUGUUAACUUGUGGCAGCAUGUGACUCCAUCUUGGUAAUCUGAUCAUCAAUUGUAGCAUUGUCGAGACUCGAUAUUCAGAUGUAAUGUUAAAUUAUUUCUACGUAUUGUGAUCAAUAUAUAUGUUUUAAUUUGGUAUUGUAAUGAAGUGCUAGUAUAUUACACUAUUACUAAUUGGAGGCUCGUAAAUCCUCACGAUGCGCUGUAGAAAAAUAGAUAGAUCUUAUAAAUUCCCACAAAAUUAAAAUCAGAAACAUCCAACCGUCAAUCCAGCAGACUCUAAUCAUAGUAGCCAUUGGAUUUAUUAUAUUUUCUAAAAACUUAAUCAUGUCCCUCAUUAUAAUAAUGACCUCAUUAUAAUAAUGGUAUUAAGUAACUCCUAAUUCUAUAUCAAAAUUACCCACCUCUAGCAUAGGUGGGUAAUUUAUAUGGUUGGCAUCAUAAUAACGACACAUCCAGUUUCUAGCUUUGAAUCCAUUGAGCCGGUUAUGAUGCUGAAACACAACCAGUAGCGGAGGAUGGAAUAAAUUUAGGAGGACGGAAUAAAUUUAACGUAUGAUGAAAUCAAAAAUUGAAAGUAACCAAAAAUAUAUCCUUUUCAUUAUAAUAGCACGAAGUAGUGAAGGAUGGAAUAAAUUGCAAGCACGAUGAUCAAACAUUUAGGAGAUAAUAGCUGCAGGUCAAGAGAUGAUCAAACAUUUAGGAAACAACACACGAAAAUGCACAACCACCGAUUGACCAAACCGAAAAGGAAAUUAAAAUGAAUGCUCGAUGAUUUGAUUUCAAAUAAAAAAUGCUAAAAAUGAAAAUUUGCAAUAUGAACCUCUCAAUUUAGCCUUGCCCUUGCCCUUGCCCUUCGACUCCAUUUUAGCCUAUGCACUUCUGAUUUGCCGGCCGGCCGACGGUGCAGUUCGGCACCUGCCGACCUCACGCUUGCUGCCUGCACCUUAUCGGUGCUCGUGACCUCGGGCCUCGACGUCGCCCGUGACCGGUGAUCGCCAAAGCACAAGCGCUAGGUCUCUCGUGUGGAUAUUGGGCUGCUAGUGUUUUGGGCCAUUAUGCACCAGGGCAAAAAAACAAAUCAAUUGGCCCAAUGCAAAGAACACUCGGCCUUAUAACGGUUGGCAGCCUGACGUUUCCUUUCUGAAUUUUUUUAUUUAUAUAUAUAUUUUUACGAAUUUACGGAAAUAAAUAGUCGAACCAAAAAUUUACAAAAAUAGACCUAUGCCGCCAGACCAAACGGUGGUAGGAGGGCUUUCGCUGGUUCAAACAGCGGAAGGAUGCCGGCCACACCGUCCUAGCUUGGUUCGCCAGUUGAAACGGCAGUAGGCCACUUACCGCCGUUUCGUACGGCGGUAGGCGGGCUGCCGUUUCAAGCGGCGGUAAGUGGCCAGCUUACGGUUCAGCUGGGUUGGGGAUGUUAUAGCCGGUUGAAACGGCUACAAUUUACCGGCUAUAACUUUGUUUUAAUUAUUUUUCCUUGAUUUUAUAGGAUAUUUAUGAAAGUAAAAUAUGUAGUUCCAUUGCAAUAUGUAACUUCGUAAUUCAAGGCUACAGCUAUGCUUUAAAUAUUUUCCGUUAUUUAUGUAUGACAUUAUUGAAAGUAAAAUAUGUAGUUUCAUUGCAAUACAUAACUUCGUAAUUUGAGGCUAUAAAUCUGUUUUUAAAAAAAUUCUUUAUUUUUGUAUGACAUUUUCGAAAGUAAAAUAUGUAGUUCCAUUGCAAUAUGUAACUUCGUAAUAUUUGAGGCUAUAACUCUAUUUUAAAUAUUUUUCUUUAUUUUGUAUGACUUUUUUGAAAGUAAAAUAUGUAGUAGUUUUGAACGUUGGCUGAACGUCUCAUUUGUAGAACGGUACUAAGAUGGUUCAUGGACCAUGUCCAUAAUGGCAAAUGGAAAAGGACAUGCAUGGACAUCAUAGCCUGCAUUGGCCUAGCUAUGAAAACAUACACAACACACACUGGAUAACAUCGUAGCCUGCGCCGGCCUACAUAAAGUAGUCUGCGGAUGACCACACAUCGUACGCUAUACAAUUAUACACAUGAUAGUCUGCACCGUCUACAAAAGAUAAAGGUCCUACGCACUAAAUGCGUCCUCGCUUGAAAUGAGGCUCACCGCAACCACGACCACGCCUCGCUGCCCGCUGCGCAGCUCUAGUCCGGUACUAGUCGUACGUCAAGGGCUUUUGUGGGGCAACGUCGCGAGGCAGACGUCCAGCUGCGGCCGCAGCUGGUGUCGCGAAGUCCUGAGCCUCCGGGGUGUCACGCAACUGCGAAGCACCAAUCACGUCAGGCUCGGUUCUCAACAUUUCGUCCACCACCCAUGCAUGAACGCUGGACCUCUGUCCCUCCUCCUCGACGGAGUUCUCCGAAGCCCCUUCGCAAUUUGUGAACCCUGUUAUUGAACCAAGGAAAUUACUGCUGUCUGCGACCCUUGUUAUCGAUAGGGGGCGGUAAGGGACGUACCGCCGUUUCACCCGGCGGUAAGACCCUUUACCGUCGUUUCAAUCGGCGAUACAGGCCUACCGCCAUUUGGUCCGGCGAUAUAGAUCUAUUUUUGCAAUUUUUUGGAUCAACUAUUUAUUUAUGCAAAUUCAUAAAAAAAUAUAAAAAUAUAAAAAUUCUUUGCUUUCUUCUUCCAGGACCUUACAUUCAUCAGUUCAUCGCUCAUACAGGCAGCCAUGACGUCCUGUGUGUAGAUGCAGCAACGGAACCAAAUAAAUGGAUGAAAAACGCACGUUACGUAAUGGAGUAAGGAAGCAAAUGAAGGCAGAGAAACAAGAAAAAGGAUCGAAUCAAAUAGAAAAAGAAAAAGGAAAACCCACAUGCUAUGCUAGAAUGAAGAUCAUGGCAAACAGAUGCAGCCAAAGGGUCCGAUCGAUCCGAAACUGCGUGGUGGCAUGAUCGCCCCCACAGUCCCACCCCCGGUGGCGAUGAUAGUUUUGUCUCUCUCUCAGCUCUGCGAAAGAUUAAUUGCAGCCACCUGGGCACUAAAGGGCAUUUGAUCCUGGAGCUAAAGUUUAGUCCGUGUCACAUCGAAUAUUCGGAUACUAAUUAGAAGGACUAAGUAUGAACUAAUUACAAAACUAACUGCAGAAUCCCUAGGCUAAAUCGUGAGAUGAAUAUAUUAAGCCUAAUUAAUCUAUCAUUAGCGAAUGUUUACGGUAGCACCAUAUUAUCAAAUUAUGGACUAAUUAGGCUUAAUAGAUUCGUCUCGUGAUUUAGCCUAGGGGUUGUGAAAUUGGUUUUGUAAUUAGCCUAUGUUUAAUAGGUCUAAUUAGUAUCCAAACAUUCAAUGUGACAGGGCUAAAAUUUAGCCCGGGGAUCCAAACACCUCUAAAGAAAGAAUGCUCGGCGUCAUCAUGCAUGAUGCUAUUUCACUAGCUACUUUGUUUCUCUCAUUCUUUAUUAUCUUUUAAAAAUUAUUAGAAGAACCGCUCGCUGCUGAUUCAUUGAUGAACAACCAAAACUGAAAUAAGGACUGAGAUACAGCCUUUGGUGCUUUUGUGCUCCCGACUUUGGACCUUGUGAUGACAUCACCAUGAGCUUAUCGACCUGCUCCUGCUCCUGCUCCUGCUCCUGCUGUAUGGCGAUAAAAAGCUUGUCAUGGUCCCAGGUACUCUUUCUAAAGAUUGGUCGGAUCAUCGAUCGCUCGCUGCUGAUUCCUCUAACAAGAGAAGCAAAAGUAUUCACAGCAGCUAAUAAAACUGGUUUGCAGUUUGCAAAUAAAAGAGAAUGGCCGCCACUGAAUAAUAAUCACUGCGACUGCCAUGCAUGCGACUCGACCAUCAUGCCAUAUAUAUUAACCUCUUUAAUUUGUUUCUUCCAUUCUUUACUCCAUGACCGUAUAUAUGAUUCGUGUUUUUUGUAUGUGGACAAGCUGAUUUAUCGAUCAUCCUGUGAAGAAUUCCAUUUUUCUCGAUCAUUCAAAAGCUCAGUCUCAGAUGGAUUAUCUCGUUGAGCUCCGGCUGUUUCUGUGUUCUCUCCAUGACUCCAAAGAGCAACAAAACCCACCACCAUAUUAACAACCAAAUAAAAACGUUUUCCGUAGAACAUAUGCUUCUGUCGGUGAAACCGAAGAUGAAAGGAUGAAUGCAGACGAGCAAAAAAGGAAACGCUUUGUUUUGAGCUUUUGAGUCCCCCACCAUCAUGCAUUUGUUCCAAUUUUAUUAUCAGCUUUGGUGCUCCGAAUGAUGUAAAAACACUGCUGCGUGCGGUUGCAGAGGUCAUAAAUAAUUUUCUUUUUCUAGAAACAUGCAUUUGUUCCAAUUGAGCUUGUAGGCUCAGGGCGCAGCAGCUCCCUUCGUAACGAAGGUUCACUUGUGUGGUCAAUAACCUCUCCGAGGAGGCAGGACGCCGGGACCUGGGGAAAGAUGCGAUAUGGUUUGCAAGAGAACAAGAACGAAAAAUUCUCUCCGAGAACAAUGCUUAUAUCCGGAUUGUCACCCUAAAUACAGCUCGCUCCUAAUCGCUAAGAUGACAUAAGUUAACUUGUGACAAAUUUACCCUAAAAACGAUUAGAAAAGUUUAAAGCGAUGCGGAAGCUUAAAAGAGCUGCUCGCAAAUUAACAUCAGCCUCGAGCUUCAAAGCUGAUACUAAGGGGGUGUUUGGGAGGAGUGCGCUAAACUUUAGCCCUGUCACAUCGGAUGUUCGGAUACUAAUUAGGAGGACUAAACAUAAGCUAAUUAUAAAACUAAUUGCAGAACCCCUAGGCUAAAUCGCGAGAUUAAUCUAUUAAGCCUAAUUAAUCCAUCAUUAGUGAAUGGUUACUGUAGCACCACAUUGUCAAAUCAUGAUCUAAUUAGGCUUAAUAGAUUCGUCUCGAUUUAGCCUAAGGGUUGUGUAAUUAGUUUUGUAAUUAGUCUAGGUUUAAUACUCCUAUUUAGUGUCAAAUAUUCGAUGUGACGGGGGCUAAAAUUUAGCCCCCUCCUCCCAAACACCCCCUAAAGCUAUCUCCAGCUACUGAACUGAACGCAACCUGAGUUGCUACUCGAGAUUCUAUGGAAACAGAAAAGCUACAGGUGCAGCGAUGCAAGGCAGAGAUCGAGCUUGACAAGGAAAAGUGCAGCUGAGAAAUUAAACAGGCAAUGAUUAAUACUUGCAAGCUCUAGAACUCAAACCAGAAAGAUGCUCAAGCACACAAGCUAGCUGGCCGACUGAACAACACAAAAACUGUCACAGGAUCACCAUUUCACACUAAACAAGCUCACACAGCAUGAAUUGUUGAACGAAAAGGUAGAGCCUAAAUUGCCUUGCACUGAUUACUUACUGUAGCAUGACAAUGACAUUUCUUUUGAGAAAUUCUGAUCGGCAAAACAAAAGAGCAUUAAGUAAUUAGUUUAGUGCUUGGACUCUGUAGCAUGAAAGCAACCUUUCAAGGUACUAUCUGCUGUGCUUGAGCUGCUUAGGGGGUGUUGAGGAGAUACUCCAGUCACAUCGGAUGUUUGAACACUAAUUAGGAGUAUUAAACAUAGUCUAAUUAUAAAACUAAUUGCACAAUUCCUAGGUUAAAUCGCGAGAUGAAUCUAUUAAGCCUAAUUAGUCCAUGAUUUAACAAUGUGGUGCUACAGUAACCAUUCGCUAAUGAUGGAUUAAUUAGGCUUAAUAGAUUCGUCUCGCGAUUUAACCUGGGAGUUCUACUAUUAGUUGUGUAAUUAGUUUAUAUUUAGUCCUCCUAAUUAGCAUCCGAACAUCCGAUGUGACAGGGCUAAAGUUUAGCCCCCUAGUAUCCAAACGAGACCUUAGGCUAUCCGCACUCAUCAACCUCUAUUUCCAUACUUAAAAAAAUAUAUAUCCUAAUCAUCGAGAUUCUCUACUCUAUACUUAUUUCUUCCACACUCGUGUUAUCUCUAUCCCAUACUCUAUACUAACUACUCCAUAUUUUAUUCCCCUCCCUUCCCCUUCCUCUCUCUUCCCAACUCUCUCUCCGCGCGGAACCUUGGGAAGCGGAUAGCGGGCGGUAGGCGCGUCCUCCAGAGUAGCGGUCCACCGACCGACCGUUACCGUAGUGGCAGCCAUCCAGUACCGCGCUGCAGCGGGUAGCGGUACUGGAGCCUGUUUAGCGGCGCGCGGUGCGGACAGCCUUACUUGCGUGACCCGCAAAACCAAACGAUGCAGUACCUGCGCUUGCCGCUGGAAUUCAGAUGGCAACUAGUUCCUUCUCUGUUUACCUGCACAGGCUGCCGGACUGCCUGAAGGCCGAGCUGAAGCUGUAAAGACGAACGGCACAGACAGAGAAGAAAAUGCAGAGCUGAGGCUGCUACUGCACAAGAAAAUGGGAGACCCAAAGCCGCAGCCUGCACUGAAGAACACACGAUCGAGUCGCGCAAGAAGCUGCUGCAGAAAAUUGAAAGCUUGCUGCUGCGAACACAAGCUGUUGCCGCCACCGAACAAGUCAAGCUGCAGGCCACCUGGCUACCAGAUCACAGAAAUCAAACAACGGCCAGACGAUGCCCUCGACGCUCAGCCAACAGUCGGACCAGAUGCAUAUGGUCACACCUCGAUGUGCUGACGGGUGACCCUCUGGUGCACGACACAGCAAAUAGAGCAGAACUGGAGCUCGAGCUUUACACCAAAUUCACCAAAAACCAAUCAAAUCAGGACCGAUUCACACAGGAUUUUGGACCGCGAUCUCCUCACAUCAUGAGUAAACAGAUCCAAGAAGAUGAACCCCAAAACAUCAAGACCUCAUCAUCAAUUUUGCAAAUUUCGGGAAACCUAGAACAAGGGGAAAUUUUGGGGAAACAACAAAUUUGAGGUGCUCGGUGAGGGUUUUGUUGGAGAAUCACCCUAGGCUUGCUCACAACAUGUCCUAGCACCGAUUUGCCCCCAAGAAAUCCGCCUCAAAUCGCAGCCAAAACAGACGAACGGAAAUUCCAAAAAAAAAUCCUCCGAAAAUGCAGAAAAAUAAAAACGCUCGGGUAUGGACUAGAGGCGAACAAUUGCUUGUAUUGCUCCAUCACACCUAAAAGCUCUCACAAAUAAAUGAGAAGCCCAGCACCAAAGAGAUGUGACUGUCCAACAUCUCUCUCCACAUAUAUAUAUAUAUAGACAUCCGGACAAUAACCAGAAUGCCAUGCAUGAAGCACACAACUCAAAUACCACCAGGGGUAAAAUCGUCCAACUUUUUGUCGGUACAUCGAAUGGAUCCGGCACCUUCACGACUUCGGUUCGCCUCGACGCAAGCUUCAUGAUGGUGCCACGCAUCCUCCGACUAGAUGCUGUCCGGCCGCACCCGACUCGCCCCUCAGUUUUGAGGCCAAACCGGUCAAACCCUCUCGCACGCCCCGCCAAAUGUGACUCACCCCCAGUUUUGAGGUUAAACCGGUCAAAUCCUCUUGCACACCCCGCAGGUGUGACUCAUCCCGGUUUUGAGGUCCAACCCUCUUGCACGCCGCGCACGACAUGACUCACCGAUGUCGACGCGUGUCUGACAUCCGCCAAGCCUUCGAUGCCUCCAAGUCUUUCGCUCCCGGCUCCUGGACCGCCUACUCAACUCGCCUCCAUUCCGCUUGACUCGAUCGACACCGUCUCCAUCCCGUCCGUGUACUCUUGCUCUUCCGUGCACCAUGUGGAUCACCCAUGACUCCGUUCGGACUCCUCAGGUCACUCAGUCCAAGUCUAAUCGAGUCCACCCUUCAUAGCCCUAGUACAUCGGCAUGAACCUUUCGCUUGACCUUCACCUCAUGCCGUCGACCGCCAUGUUGCAUCCUACACCUGCACAUCACAAGCCAAAAGAUACAACACAUAAGAGAUGAUUUACACAAACACCACAACACAACGCAUAUAGCACAACACAUCCGGUAACAGAAAAUAUUUUAGGCUUAAUCUAGAUGCCCUAGGCAGUAAUAAGGAGAUUACUUUACUAUUACUAAUUGGAUAUUCAUUUCGAAGGGUCGUUAUAAAAAAAAGUAAAUCCAAAAAAUACUUAUAAAAAUAGAAAAUAUCUGAGACCAUCGAGGUAUACCCUAAUUAUCAAUUGUGGACCCACCACUACUAGAGAAAAUGGCUCUAGUACCGGUUUUUGGUACUAGAGAGGGUCGCUUUAGUACCGAUUAAAAUAACCGGUACUAAAGGGUGUUAAAAAUUAAAAAAAUAAAAUCCCCAAGCCCCACCAGGCCCCGCUCGCCCCCUCCCACCGCUGCCAGCCCGCCUCCCUCCCCUCGCCGCCCCUGGCCUCCCGCCCGCUAGCCGCUCCACCCGCCGCUCCCGCUCUGCCAGCCGCGCCCGCUCCGCCCGCCGCCAGCCGUUGCCGCUGCUGCUCACCUCACCCCGCUGCUGCUCCUCACUGCCGGUAAGGGGCUCAUGAAGGAGGGAGGGGAAGGGAGGCGGUGGAAGGAGAUCUAGAGCUAGCAGAAGGAAGAAGAUAGAGGAGAAAAAGAUAGUAGUGGAGAGAAAGAUAGCAGGGGAGGAGAGAAAGCUUGGUAGGUAGAAGGAGGAGAUAAGGGAGGAGGCGGCGGGGCAGGUGCGUGGAAUCGCGCGUAAAAAAAUCUAAGUCUUUACAGUGGGAGACCCUUUAGUACCGGGUGGGGGCUCCACUCGGUACUAAAAGUACUUUUUGUACCGGGUGGAGCCUAAAGGGGAUCACGGGGCCUCAUCGAAAGGCCCGAUACUAAUGGGCCAAAAAGUGACCGGUACUAAAUCUCAGAACGAGAGGUCAUUUUUUUAGCAGUGCACGGAUCGUACGAAGUCCAGGCAGAGACUAAGGAGGUGUUUGGAUACCCACCGCUAAACUUUAGCACAUGUCACAUCAGAUGUUUGGAUACUAAUUAGGAGUAUUAAAUAUAGUCUAAUUAUAAAACUAAUUGCACGGAUGGAGUCAUCUAUUAAGCCUAAUUAGUCCAUGAUUUGACAAUGUGGUACUACACUAACCAUUUGUUAAUGAUGGAUUAAUUAAUCUUAAUAGAUUCGUCUCGCGAAUUAGACUCCAUCUGUGCAAUUAGUUUUGUAAUUAGCUCAUGUUUAGCCCUCCUAAUUAGCAUCCGAACAUCCGAUAUGACCCUGCUAAAGUUUAGCAUCUCGUAUCAAACACCCCUAAAAUAUUUAUCUUCCUGUCUCCAACAAACGAUGUUCCGACCAUGAACUAAAAUCACUAUCCUCUUGCGGAUGUGGUGCCGGAACCUGGGUAGACGCCCGGGGUCGCCGGGCCCCGGGACCACCCUGGUAAUCAUCAUUGAUAACAGUAGACAUUCAAUACAUUAUGUUUUCUUUAAUAAUUACACACAUCUGUCGUUAAUGCAGGUCGUUGUGGCCGGCGACGGCAUGCUGCGAGCCAGGAACGUGGACUACGUGCGGAGGAUGGAGGAGAUGCGGAAGCCGGUGGAGGCCGUCGUGUUCCCGGGGCAGGGGCACGCCUUCUUCUCGCUCCGGCCGUGGAGCAAACCGGUGGAGGAGAUGAUCCGGGUUGUGAAGCGGUUCAUGGACAAGGUCUGCUCAGGAUGAGCUAAGCGGUUACUGUAGAUGCACUGAGCUGCUGCUUUGUGUUCUGAUUUUUCACUGCAAGCUUCAUAAAAUAAAUGGAGACUAAAUUUUAAGUCUUCAUUACUGGACAUUUACUAUGUUUUCUUCAUUUUACCCUUCAAUCAAAAUACGUAUGGCGCCGAAGUGGUGGAUGGUGUGUGUGACCCAUGCUUCAAAUUCGGCCGGGCUUCAUGUUGCCGCCAUCGUGGGGUUUGGGCCUGAUUUCUACACAUACUGGGCUGGGCCAACAUUUGGUGACCGGUGCUUUGUUUUGACCCAACAGAAGUCCCACCAACCUCAAAUUCAGAGGACCUAACAAUCCUCUCAAAAAUUUAGUAAUAAAUAUCUAUAAUCCUCUAAAAUAGUAUUGAAAAACACUCACGAAAAUACACCCUUGCUCACUUGGACCAGUUCCCAUCUAGUGUACCAUGUUAUAAUUUUCGAAGAAAAAAAUUACUUAACAAAUUAUCAGCUCUUUUCCAAGACGUCCUUUUAUAAUCGGACUAUUCAAUAUAAACUAGAGCAUUGAUCCCUCUGUUCAAUUGUUUUCUUUCAAGAGGAUAAUCUGUCCGAAUUGCCGAGUCAUCAUGGGUACCAAGUGGACCAUAUGGUUAGAUGUGCAUUUGCAUACACACUGGUACAAAGAGUUAUCUUUGCUCCCUGUCACUUCAGAGCUCUGAAUAACAGAACCCAUCCAAAACAAUCGAUCUGCUUUCUCCACUUCGUCUUCCCUCUCGGAUCAUGUGAUCAGCUCGCGAUCCAUCACCCUCCACACCCCCAUUGGAUAAGUCCAUGACGUGCCUUCUUCUCUUCCAUCUCUGUUAACAUCAGUCUAUCCACC
rnacentral:lncRNA from 1 species